rnacentral:lncRNA from 1 species
UUUUUUUGUUUUUUGUUUUUUUGGUGGGCUUCUUUGGCCUCUUUUUUUUAUUUGGGCUUCUUUGGCCUCUUUUAUUUUGAUAACCUCACAUGGGACAAUGUUCUCAUAAUGAUGAUCAUCACACUUUUAUUUACUUACAACUCAAUAUUACAACUUGAUACUAGAACAAAGAUAUGACUCUAUAUGAAUGCCUCCGGCGGUGUACCGGGAUGUACAAUGAUCUAGCGUAGCAAUGACAUCAAAAAUGGACAAGCCAUGAAAACAUCAUGCUAGCUAUCCUACGAUCAUGCAAAGCAAUAUGACAAUGAUGCUCAAGUCAAGUAUAUAAUGAUGAUGGAAGUUGCAUGGCAAUAUAUCUCGGAAUGGCUAUGGAAAUGCCAUAAUAGGUAGGUAUGGUGGCUAUUUUGAGGAAGGUAUAUUGUGGGUUUAAGGUACCGGCAAAAGUUGUGCGAUACUAGAGAGGCUAGCAAUGAUGGAAGGGUGAGAGUGCGUAUAAUCCAUGGACUCAACAUUAGUCAUAAAGAACUCACAUACUUAUUGCAAAAGUCUAUUAGCUAUCGAAACAAAGUACUACGCGCAUGCUCCUAGGGGGAUAGAUUGGUAGGAAAAGACCAUCGCUCGUCCCCGACCGCCACUCAUAAGGAAGACAAUCAAUAAAUAAAUCAUGCUCCGACUUCAUCACAUAACGGUUCACCAUACGUGCAUGCUACGAGAAUCACAAACCUCAACACAAGUAUUUCUACUAAUCCACAACUACCCACUAGCAUGACUCUAAUAUCACCAUCUUACAUAUCAUAUUCAGUGAUCUACAAGUUUUAUGUAGGAUUUUAUGACUAACCAUGUGAAUGACCAAUUCAUGUCAACUCUCUAAAUAGAUAUAAGUGAAGCAAGAGAGUUUAAUUCUUUCUACAAAAGAUAUGCCCACGCUCUAACAAAUAUAAGUGAAGCAAAAGAACAUUCUACAAAUGGAGGUUUUCUAUGUAAAGAGAAACAUGCAAUCCAAACUUCAAAUGAUAUAAGUGAAGCACAUGAAGCAUUCUAUAAGGCCAUACUCAAAAGAUAUAAGUGAAGUGCAUAGAGCAUUCUAUAAAUCAACCAAGGACUAUAUCAUACUAGCAUGGUGCAUAAAAGAAAAAUGAAAACUAAAUGCAAAAGAUGCUCCAAGAUUGCACAUAUCGCAUGAACAAAACGAAUCCGAAAACAUACCGAUACUUGUUGAAGAAAGAGGGGAUGCCUUCCGGGGCAUCCCCAAGCUUAGACGCUUGAGUCUCCUUCAAUAUUCACUUGGGGUGCCUCGGGCAUCCCCAAGCUUGAGCUCUUGCCUCUCUUCCUUCUUCUCACAUCGAGACCUUCUCGAUCAUCGAACACUUCAUCCACACAAAACUUCAACAGAAAACUCGGUACGAUCCGUUAGUAUAAUAAAGCAAAUCACUACUCUAAGUACUGUUGCAAACCAAUUCAUAUUUUGUUUUUGCAUUAUAGCUACUGUAAUAUAACUUUUCCAUGGCUUAAUCCACUGAUAUAAAUCGAUAGUUUCAUCAAAACAAGCAAACUAUGCAUCAAAAACAGAAUCUGUCUAAAACAGAACAGUCUGUAAUAAUCUGAACAUUAACCAUACUUAUGAAACUUGAAAAAUUCUGCCAAAUUUAGGAAAAAAUAAACAAAUUGUAUAGAAAGACAGUGCAAAAAGAAUCAGAACCAUUUGACGUUCCAGCAAAAAAUGUAAAAUCGCGCACUACAGCCAAAGUUUCUGUCCUGCACCAUAGGAACCAACAAGCAAAGUAAACAUCCUAAAGGCAAACAUUGGUACAUUAUUUUUAUAAUACAAUGGAAUUGUACAAGGGGAUAAUUAUUUUUGUUGAAAAGUUUCUGUAAUCAACAUUCACAAAGUUUCCGUGAGCAUGAACAAAGUUCAAGGCUAGCUCCCACUUCAACAAUGCUUGUCUCUCACUUUCGCUUUUCUUUUUGUAAAAGUUUUGGGUUCCCCUCUUUAUUUUUGUUGUUUUUAAACUAUAUGAAAGCACUCAACAGAAAUAAAUGACUCUCUAAAACUUCCGGGUUGUCUCCCUGGCAGCGCUUUCUUUAAAGCCAUUAAGCUAGGCAUAUAGUGCUCAAGUAGUGAAUCCACCCGGAUCCCAAGGUAUAUCAAAGCCAAUUUUAAUUACCAAUGAUUUGUAAUUUAGUAGUGAGCACAAAGUAACAUAUAUCAUGUCACAACAAAGUCUAACUCUCUUCCUAUGCAUCGGCAUGUCAUAAAAUAACUACUCAUGCACACAUAGUAAAAACAGUUUCUUGCAAUUUUAUCGUAUUGGAAACAUAGAGAGGUGGAGAUAUAGUUCCUCUCUCAUAAUAAUUGCAAGUAGGAGCAGCAAGCACAUGCAUAUUAUAUCUAUCAAAAUCAUCAUGUGUACUAGUAAAAGGCAACCCUUCAAUAUAAUCCUUAAUAAGCACAAACUUCUCCGAUAUAGUGUAGUUUGGAGAAUUCAAAAAGAUAAUAGGACUAUCAUGUGUGGGUGCAAUAGCAAAAAUUUCAUGUUUAACAUAAGGAACUAUAGCAAGUUCAUCUCCAUAAGCAUAAUUCAUAUUGGCAUCUUGGCCACAAGCAUAGCAAGCAUCAUCAAAAAGGGAUAUUUCAAAAGAAUCAACGGGAUCAUAGCAAUUAUCAUAGCAUUCAUCCUUCGGUAAGCACGAAGGGAAAUUAAAUAAUGUAUGAGUUGAAGAGUUACUCUCAUUAGAAGGUGGGCACGGGUGAUCAAUCCGCUCUUCCUCCUUUUGUUCUUCGCUCUCCUCCUCAUCUUUUUCAUCCAAUGAGCUCACAGUUUCAUCAAUUUCUUCUUCCAUAGAUUCCUGCAAAAUAUUAGUCUCUUCUGGGACAGCAGAGACUUUCUAAAUAAACGCAUCAAUAUCGGAAUUGUAUUCACAAUUCUCAUAAAAAUAUUUAAGGAUAGCUAAAUUUUCAGGUCUGUAGACAGCAUCAUAAAGAUUUUCAUAUUCUUCGAACAUAGAUUCAAUUUCAUAAGCACCCAUAAAAGCAACAAAUUCUUCUAUUUGUUCCACAUCAUAGUAGUCAUAUAUACCUCUAGCAUAAGAAGCCAAAGUUUCAUUAUCAUUAAAUUCACAUGAAAAGGGAAGGUGUGGAUCCUUCAUCCUAGAGCAACAAGUAUAAUCAUAUCUCAAGCAUAGUUGCCUAGCAUACCAAUACAACAUAUAAAUUUGAUCCCAUAAUAGUUUCCCUUUUUGAGUCAAGCGAUAAUCCCUAAAGUAUUCACGUUGAUCCAACGUGUCUCCCAUUACCAAAUUGAAUGGGGUGUUCUCUGGAUUAUCAAAGUAGUACAUAAUAUCUGUCACAUAACGAGCAUCGAGGGUUUUAGGAGGUUCCUCAUCUCCAUGAGCAGCAAGUACACCUAAUUUUUUGGCAUUUCGUGUUCAAUAUCCAUAACUAAAGAUAAAGAGCAACUAAGAACAGCAAAUAAAAAUUACUUAGUGAUAAAGCAAACAAGCACACACGAGAAUAUUCACCCCACACUAUUGCUCCCCGGCAACGGCACCAAAAAAAGGUCUUGAUAACCCACAAGUAUAGGGGAUCGCAACAGUUUUUGAUAAGUAAGAGUGUCGAACCCAACGAGGAGCUAAAGGCAGAACAAAUAUUCCCUCAAGUUCUAUCGACCACCGAUACAACUCUACGCACGCUUGACGUUCGCUUUACCUAGAACAAGUAUGAAACUAGAAGUACUUUUAGGUGUUGUUGGAUAGGUUUUCAAGAUAAUAAAGAGCAUGUAAAUAAAAAGUAGGGGCUGUUUAGAUAAAGAAAUAACUAAGUUAGUUUUAGUAGAGAGCUUUUUGUUACGAGAAAUUUAUUUGUCCCUAGGCAAUCGAUAACUAGACCGGUAAUCAUUAUUGCAAUUUUAUUUGAGGGAGAGGCAUAAGCUAACAUACUUUCUCUACUUGGAUCAUAUGCACUUAUGAUUGGAACUCUAGCAAGCAUCUGCAACUACUAAAGAUCAUUAAGGUAAAACCCAACCAUAGCAUUAAAGCAUCAAGUCCUCUUUAUCCCAUACGCAACAACCCCCUUAAUCAGGUUUGUAUUUCAGUCACUCACGCAACCCACUAUAAGAGAAUCAUAAACGUAUUGUAAACCCUACAGCGGGGAUCGCUCACGCUUGCGCGACACGGACAGCACCAUAGGGCAGCACCAAUAAUAAAACAUGCAACUCAAACCAAUCACGAUCAUCAAAUAGCCCAUAGGACAAAACGGAUCUACUCAAACAUCAUAGGAUAGCCAUACAUCAUUGGGAAAUAAUAUAUAGCGCUGAGCACCAUGUUUAAGUAGAGAUUACAGUGGGCAAGAGAGGGAGUACACCGCUGCAUAGAGGGGGGAAGAGUUGGUGAUGAUGGCGGUGAAGUUGUUGGUGAAGAUUGCGGUGAUGAUGAUGGCCACGACAGCGUUCCGGUGCCACCGGAAGAGAAGGGGAGAGGGGGCCCCUUCGUCUUCUUAUUCCUUGACCUCCUCCCUAGAUGGGAGAAGGGUUUCCCCUCUAGUCCUUGGCCUCCAUGGCGUGUGAGGGGCGAGAGCCCCUCCGAGAUUGGAUAUGUCUCUCUCUGUUUCUGCGUUCCCAGAUUCUACCAUUUCACCAUUUCUUAUAUUCCCGGAAACCCGUUACUCCGAUUGGGCUGAAAUUUUAACACGAUUUCUAUCCGUAUAUUAGCUUUCUUGCGGCGAAAGAAGGGCACCAGCCGCCUUACAGGGUGGCCACGAGGGUCAGGGGCGCCCCCCUGCCUUGUGCCUCCCUCGGGCACCGUCUCGCGUGGAUUUUUCUUCCCAAAAAAUCUCCGUCAGUUUUAUCCCAUUUGGACUCCGUUUGAUAUGGAUAUUCUGCAAAACAAAAAACAUGCAACAAACAAGAACUGGCACUGGGCACUGGAUCAAUAUGUUAGUCCCAAAAAUAGUAUAAAAAGUUGCCAAAAGUAUAUGAAAGUUGUAGAAUAUUGGCAUGGAACAAUCAAAAAUUAUAGAUACGACGGAGACGUAUCAUGUGGCAUAUGGGAAUUUGUUAAUAUCUGGUUGUAGAGAACUUGACACUUGACUUAAUUAAAAUGCAUCCGUGAUGGCCUCUUUUCGGCGGAGUCCGGGAAGUGAACACGGUCUUGUGUUAUGCUUGAACGUAAGUAGCUUCAGGAUCACUUCUAGCUUCUCGACCAUUGCGUUGCUUCUCUUCUCACUCUUAUUUGCGUAUGUUAGCCACCAUAUAUGCUUAGUGCUUGCUGCAGCUCCACCUCACUACCUUCUCCUACCCAUAAGCUUAAAUAUUCUUGAUCUCGCGGGUUUGAGAUUGCUGAGUUCUCGUGACUCACGGAUACUUCCAAACAGUUGCAGGUGCCGAGGAUACCAGCACAGGUGAUGCUACCGAACUCAAAUGGGAGUUUGACGAGGAUCUGGGUUGUUACUAUGUUUCGUUUCCUCAUGAUCAGUAGUGGAGCCCAGUUGGGACGAUCGGGGAUCUAGCAUUUGGGGUUGUCUUCCUUUAUUUUGGUUCCGUAGUCGGACCUUUGAUUGUACUUUGGCUGAUGUAUGGAUUAUUUCUGUGUUGUGUGAAGUGGCGAUUGUAAGCCAACUCUUUAUCCCUUUCUAUUCAGUACAUGAGAUUGUGUGAAGAUUACUCCUCUUGCGACAAAACUACCAUGCGACUAUGCCUCUAAGUCGUGCCCCGACACAUGGGAGAUAUAGCCACAUUGUGGGUGUUACAGUUUCACCCAGUCCACCAAAUGGAUUGGAUGACAUGUGGGCUAGUAGGUCAAAGCCUAAGCAAUACGUUGUCAACUUACUCAAAAAGAUUAUGACAGACUUAUCCGUUGGAUUUACAUCCAACGGUCGACAUUCUUCUUCAAUCUCUCGUCUUUUUCCUCCAGCGCGGGCGGGACCUCCUACUCUAGCCUCCAGCCUCCGGCGUCUUGUGAUGCUGCUUCGCGCGCCUCACAGCGAAACGCUACACCAUCGACAGCCAGACCAUCACUCAACUCCUCCGCACCUCCUAUUAUUGCCCGUCGAGUGUGGCCCCACCCCGCAGCCAAACCAGCCAAGUCUCGCACUCCUCUCCAUCUGUAACUCCACUGCCGCAUCAUCCCCAUUCGAUUAGUUACCGUCUCAGGCCUCGCCAUCAUCCAUCGCCUUGGUGCGCUUGGUGCAGUGUGGUCAACGUGGUCAACAAACGAUAGUCAUUGGAAGACGACUGUACGUGGAUAGGCUGACAGUGGGGAUGCACCAUGUCUACGGAAGCACGCAUGCAACUGUCUCCUUUUUACGCCAAAAAUAAUGUUUCCUUCCCUUGACAGCUGGGCCCCAUCAGCUAUAUCUUUGCACGCAAGGAAGUAUAUCCUUAUUACGCGCAAAGAAAUUAUUCCUCCCCGUGACAGCUAGGCCCACCAGCUAUAUAUUCGCAUGCAAGGAAGUUGCCUCCUUAACUCCACUGACAGUUGGGACCCACUAGAUCGAAGUGUAUGUAGCAUUAUGUGUCUGGUCUCACACAUGUAUGUACAUACUGGUGGAUCGGUCUCUUUCCAAUGAUGAACAAUGAUCGAGCAAGGAGCGACAUGUGUCGUACUAGAGCCAUGACGUAGCAUUUCAGGCAAUCAUGUCUAAAUUGUAUACACUUACAUACAUCCACAUUGUAAGAAAGUUAUAUAGUCACGUACGCACAUAUGGGCACGGUCUCAAACGCGUACGACAACGGCGUCAUGGUCAUCGGCAGCCAACCUGCUAGGUCGGAACGGAGAAAAUAGUGUCGUGUGAUACGUCUCCAACGUAUCUAUAAUUUUUGAUUGUUCCAUGCUAUUAUAUUAUCAACCUUGGAUGUUUUAUAUGCAUUUAUAUUCUAUUUUAUAUGAUUUUGGGGGACUAACCUAUUAACCUAGAGCCCAGUGCCAGUUUCUGUUUUCCUUGUUUUAGAGUAUCACAGAAAAGGAAAAUCAAACGGAGUCCAAUUGACCUGAAACUUCACGGAACUUGUUUUUGGACUAGAAGAAGCCCACGGAGUAUUGGAGUUGGACCAGGAGAGUCUCGGGCUGCCCAUGAGGGUGGGGGGCGCGCCCACCCCCCUGGGCGCGCCCCCCUGCCUCCUGGACAGCCCGGAGAUCCACCGACGUACUUCUUCCUCCUAUAUAUAUCCAUAUACCCUAAAAACUUCGAGGAGCACAAUAGACCGGGAGUUCCGCCGCCAGAAGCCUCCGUAGCCACCGAAAACCAAUCUAGACCCGUUCGGGCACCCUGCCGGAGGGGGAAUCCCUCUCCGGUGGCCAUCUUCAUCAUCCCGGCGCUCUCCAUGACGAGGAGGGAGUAGUUCACCCUCGGGGCUGAGGGUAUGUACCAGUAGCUAUGUGUUUGAUCUCUCUCUCUCUCUCUCGUGUUCUUUAGAUGAUACAAUCUUGAUAUAUCACGAGCUUUGCUAUUAUAGUUAGAUCUUAUGAUGUUUCUCCCCCUCUACUCUCUUGUAAUGGAUUGAGUUUUCCCUUUGAAGUUAUCUUAUCGAAUUGAGUCUUUAAGGAUUUGAGAACACUUGAUGUAUGUCUUGCGUGGGAUAACCGUGGUGACAAUGGGUUAUUCUAUUGAUUCACUUGAUGUAUGUUUUGGUGAUCAACUUGCGGGUUCCGCCCAUGAACCUAUGCAUAGGGGUUGGCACACGUUUUCGUCUUGACUCUUCGGUAGAAACUUUGGGGCACUCUUUGAAGUACUUUGUGUUGGUUUGAAUAGAUGAAUAUGAGAUUGUGUGAUGCAUAUCGUAUAAUCAUACCCGCGGAUACUUGAGGUGACAUUGGAGUAUCUAGGUGACAUUAGGGUUUUGAUUAAUUUGUGUCUUAAGGUGUUAUUCUAGUACGAACUCUAGGAUAGAUUGAACGGAAAGAAUAGCUUCAUGUUAUUUUACUACGGACUCUUGAAUAGAUCGAUCAGAAAGAAUAACUUGAGGUGGUUUCGUACCCUAACAUAAUCUCUUCGCUUGUUCUCCGCUAUUAGUGACUUUGGAGUGACUCUUUGUUGCAUAUUGAGGGAUAGUUAUGUGAUCCAAUUAUGUUAUUAUUGUUGAAAGAACUUGCACUAGUGUAAGUAUGAACCCUAGGCCUUGUUUCAACGCAUUGCAAUACCGUUUACGCUCACUUUUAUCAUUAGUUACCUUGCUGUUUUUAUAUUUUCAGAUUACAAAAAUCUAUAUCUACCAUCCAUAUUGCACUUGUAUCACCAUCUCUUCGCCGAACUAGUGCACCUAUACAAUUUACCAUUGCAUUGGGUGUGUUGGGGACACAAGAGACUCUUUGUUAUUUGGUUGCAGGGUUGCUUGAGAGAGACCAUCUUCAUCCUACGCCUUCUACGGAUUGAUAAACCUUAGGUCAUCCACUUGAGGGAAGUUUGCUACUGUCCUACAAACCUCUGCACUUGGAGGCCCAACAACGUCUACAAGAAGAAGGUUGUGUAGUAGACAUCAAGCUCUUUUCUGGCGCCGUUGCCGGGGAGGUUAGCGCUUGAAGGUAUGUCUUUAGAUCUUGCAAUCGAAUCUUUUUGUUUGUUGUUUUAGCACUAGUUUAGUUUAUAAAAGAAAACUGCAAAAAAAUGGAAUUGAGUUUGCCUCAUACACUUCAUCUUUUUAAUAUCUUUCUUGAGUAUGAUGGAAAGGAAAAUUGUGCCAAAGUGUUAGAAGAAGAAUGCAUUAAAAUGUUUGGCACUAAAUCUUUGAAUGAUGAGCAUGAUUGCAAUGUUGUUAUUAUGAACUCCUUGAAUAUCCAUAGUACUAAUGAUGAUUGCACUAAUUAUGAUGAAAAUGUCUCCUAUAAACAUGUCAAUUUUUGUGGAGUGCAUUGGGUUUGCAAGUACACACCAAAUAGGGAAGAUAGAUAUUGCAAGAGGCAUAAGCAUUUAGAAACUAAAUGGUUGCAAGAAAGGCUAAAUGUUAGUGCUGACAAUUUAAAAUUUCUUAGCCAUACUUGUGAACUUUGCAAUGAACAUGGUCAUUUAAAUAUCAAAUGCAAAUUGUUUCAUGAUCGAAUCGUGUCCAAAAAUUGUGAUGACUUGAUUUCCCUUGCACAUUAUAAUGAACUUAGUUUGCUUUUGGGUUAUGAAGAAAUGAAACGUCAAACUAAGAUUAUUCCAUAAUAUAACCUAGAGAAAUUCCUCGAUAUUGAUCUAGAAGAAAUUUAUAUGUAUUGUGCGGUGAAUUUCAUUGAAAAUCCUUAUAUUUCCAAUUAUAUAAAGAAAAGAAAACAAAUAGAAGAUGAAGAGAAUACUAACGAAAGGGAGGAGACUUCCCAAUAUCCUCCUAUUAUUUCUUAUGAUGAAUCAGGUAACGAGGAGGAGCCUUCUAUUCAACCAAUCUCAUUAAUAAGGAGCUCCAAAAAGAGGAUUGAACCCACACAUGAUGUGGUGAAGAAGAAGAAAAGAAAAAGGAAGAGAGGUAAAAAGAUAUCUCUCCCAAAUAAUGCUACUCCUAUUACUGUUGUGCCUCAUGAAAAUAUAAUUGUGGAAGAUGAUGCACUUGAUGAUGAUCUCGUUAUGCCUAUUGCUUGUUGUGAUGAUUAUGAUUGGGAAGAUAAUGAUACUUCUUAUGAUCUUGAAAAUCUUUUUGGCACUUGCUUGGAAGAAUAUGAUAAUUGCUAUACUAUUGGUGCUAUCCAUACUAUUGAUGAUGAGAAUGAUUAUGCUUAUGAUAUGAAAAGUCCCAAGCUUGGGGAUGCUAUGUUGAAGGAAGAUGAUAUUUGUAGUCUUCCAAGUUUUUAUAUGCAAAUUUAUUAUGAUGAUAGCAUGCCUCCAACUUAUGAUGAUUAUCUUGAUGAAAGUGGAUUUGGGGAGGUCAUGACUUUAUUUAGUAAUGAUUCCACUAUCUUGGAAGAGGUUUCAAUCGAUUAUGAUGAGAAUAAAGUUGCUACUUAUGAUGAUUAUUGUGAUGAAACUUAUGCUAUAAAAAGUAGAGAUGAUUAUAUUUAUAAAACUUGUCAUGAUUAUGAUUACUCUUUUUCUGAACAUUACACUUUUACUGUGGAAACAAUUUAUAGUAUUCGAGUUCUUUAUGAUACUCCCACUAUUCCAAAUGAGAAGAAUUUUUCUUAUGUGGAGAGUAGUGAAAUUUCUAUGCUAGUAAAUCAUGAAAAGAAUGCUUUAGGUGCUGAUUAUAUGUUGAAUUCAUUCAUUAUGCUACUUAAAAUUAUUAUGAGGGAGGAACAUAUGCUUAUAGGAAUUGUAAUAAUAUCAAGUUUCCUCUCUAUGUGCUUAAAGUUUUGAAGUUAUGCUUGUUUUGCCUUCCUAUGCUAGUUGAUUAUUGUUCCUAUAAGUUGUUUGCUCACAAAAUCCCUAUGCAUAGGAAGUGGGUUAGACUUAAAUGUGCUAGUCAUAUUCUUCAUGAUGCUCUCUUUAUGUUUCAAUUCUUAUUUUUUAUGUGAGCGUCAUUGAAAUCAUCAUGCCUAGUUAGGGGCGUUAAACGAUAGCGCUUGUUGGGAGGCAACCCAAUUUUAUUUUUGUUCCUUGUUUUUUAUCAUGUUUAGCAAUAAAUAAUUUAUCUAUCCUAUUUUAUGAUUGAUUUUUUAUGUUUUAAUUAGUGUCUGUGCCAAGUAGAACCGUUGGGAAGACUUGGGGAAAGUCUUGUUGAUCAUGCUGUAAAAAACAGAAACUUUAGCGCUCACGAGAAUUGCUGCCAUUUUUUAUUGGAGAGUGAUAUUUAGUUAAUUAUUUUUGAAGAUGAUUAAUAGAUAAAUUCCUCACGUCUAGAAAUUUAUUUUAUAAUUUUUGGGGUUCCAGAAGUUUGCGUUGGUUACAGAUUACUACAGACUGUUCUGUUUUUGACAGAUUCUGUUUUUCAUGUGUUGUUUACUUAUUUUGAUGAAUCUAUGGCUAGUAAAAGAGUUUAUAAACCAUAGAGAAGUUGGAAUACAGUAGGUUUAACACCAAUAUAAAUAAAUAAUGAGUUCAUUACAGUACCUUGAAGUGGUGUUUUGUUUUCUUUCGCUAACAGAGCUUACGAGUUUUCUGUUAAGUUUUGUGUUGUGAAGUUUUCAAGUUCUGGGUAAAGAUUCGAUGGACUAUGGAAUAAGGAGUGGCAAGAGCCUAAGAUUGGGGAUGCCCAAGGCACCCCAAGGUAAUAUUUAAGGACAACCAAAAGCCUAAGCUUGGGGAUGCCCCGGAAGGCAUCCCCCCUUUCAUCUUCGUUCAUCGGUAACUUUACUUGGAGCUAUAUUUUUAUUUACCACAUGAUAUGUGUUUUGCUUGGAGCGUCAUUUUAUUUUAUUUAGUUUUGCUUGCUUCUUGAAUAAAAUACCAAGAUCUGAAAUUCUUAAAUGUUAGAGAGUCUUCAUGUAGUUGCAUGAUUAUUCAACUACUCAUUGAUCUUCACUUAUAUCUUUCGGAGUAGUUUGUCGUUUGCUCUAGUGCUUCACUUAUAUCUUUUAGAGCACGACGGUGGUUUUAUUUUGAAGAAAUAGAUGAACUCUCAUGCUUCACUUAUAUUAUUUUGAGAGUCUUUAGAACAACAUGGUAAUUUGCUUUGGUUAUCAUUAGUAGAAAAAGGGUCAAAUGUGAAGCACAUUAGUGCCGGUUUGAAUUUGAGCCGGCACUAAUGUGUGCAUUAGUGCCGGUUCCAACGGCUAGCCGGCCGCUCUCAUUAGUACCGGUUCGUGGCGAACCUUUAGCACUGGUUCGUGCUAAAGUUCCAGAACCUAAAGUCUCAUGACUGCCACGUGAUUAUGACGCAACUGCUUCCGGUUGCAUUGAGGGGGCUCCUACCGGAAAACGUUCGAUUAGCCAUUGUGAAGCUAUGUGCAUUCCUCAAUGCAAUCUCUCAGAAGGUAAUCGAUCCAGAAAUCAUACCAAGGUUAGAGAAUGAUUUGGUGCAAUGUCUUGUCAGUUUCGAGUUGGUGUUCCCACCAUCCUUCUUCAACAUCAUGACGCACGUUCUAGUUCACCUAUAUGAAGAGAUUAACGUUUUGGGUCCUGUAUUUCUACACAAUAUGUUCCCCUUUGAGAGGUUCAUGGGAGUCUUAAAGAAAUAUGUUCAUAACCGGGCUAGGCCAGAAGGAAGCAUCUCCAAGGGCCAUGAAAAUGAGGAGGUCAUUGAUUUUUGUAUUGACUUUAUUCCUGACCUUAAGCCGAUUAGUGUUCCUGAAUCGCGGCAUAAGGGCAGACUGGAUGGAAAAGGCACGCUAGGAGGAGAACAAAUAAUAUGUAUGGACGGACAUUCUCUCACUGAAGCACACUACACAGUUCUACAGAAUUCCGCCUUGGUGGCUCCGCAUAUGGACGAACACAAGAAUUUGCUACGCUCCAAACACCCAGAGCGGUCUGAUGACUGGAUUACACAUGAACAAACCAGGAGUUUCGCCAGCUGGUUGCAGACACGUACCAUGCAUGACGCCUCUAUUGAAGAUGACCUGUACUUGUUGUCCUAGUUACCAUCUUCUAAUAUAAUGACUUUCAAAGGGUACGAGAUAAAUGGUAAUACAUUUUACACGAUCGCCCAAGAUAAGAAGAGCACCAACCAAAACAGUGGUGUCUACUUUGAUGCAGAAACCAAGACGGGAAAGGAAACAUAUUAUGGUUAUAUACAGGAUGUAUGGGAACUUGACUAUCGACGUGGUUUGAAGGUCCCUUUGUUUCGGUGCAAAUGGGUCAAUAUCACACGAGGCGCGGUAACGGAAGACUCGUAGUACGGAAUGACAACAGUGGAUCUCAACAAUCUUGCGUAUGCAGACGAACCAUUCAUCCUAGCCAAUGAUGUGGCACAGGUUUUCUAUGUGAAUGACAUGUCUACCAAGCCGAGAAAAAGAAAAGAUAAGGAAGCGAAUGCAUCGUACGCUGAGCCAAAGCGGCUCAUAGUUCUUUCUGGGAAGAGAAACAUCAUGGGAGUGGAUGACAAGACAGACAUGUCAGGAGAUUAUGAAAAGUUUGAUGAAAUUGCUUCAUUCACAGUGAAUAUUGACCCGAGCAUCCAGUUAAAUGAUGAAGAUUUUCCAUGGCUACGGCGCAAAGGGACACACGCGAAGAAAAAGUUUCACACCCAAAGAUCUGGGAUGUGAUCGGCUUCACUAUCAUCACUUUAUUCUGUGUUUCACACCCAGGAGGAAAUCUCUGUAAUAGUUAGGGUAGCUAGUUAUGUGUUUUGGCAUUUGAAACGCGAAGAAAUUUUAUGUGCAAGCAAAUUCUUUCUUGCAUUUACUGAUUUUUUCAGCUAUAUGACCCUGAAAUUGAAAAGCAUUUCAAAUGAACUCGGAAAAGGUUGAAAGUUGGCUUGGUAUCAUAAUUUCACCCACAUAGCAUGUGCAAAAAAGUAGAGAGGGUUACCGCAAAAACUAGAUGCACUUCGUGUACAAAAUGGACAAUCUCUUUCGAAGUAUCAGGGUUUCGGACGAAAACUCAUCCGUUACAAAGGCAUUUCAUUUUUUAAAUAACCUAAGCAUUACCAAAUUGAAUAUAAUGAUAAAACACACUAAUAUUAAACAUAAGAAAAAAGAAUCACUGAAAAAUCUAGUUUCAAAGCUAAGUUAUUCACAAACUACUGAUUCACACAAAUUUCAAAUAAUUCAAAAUUUAAACUAUUCAAAUUUGUAAACUACCAGUACUAACAGAAAGUUUGUAAUUUUUUGUACCUAAAGCAAAAAUAUUCACAAAGAAACUCUAAAUACAGCAAAAAACAACUCAAAAAUAAAUAAAACAAAAAUAAAUAAAGCAAAAAAAUAAGAAAAAAAGCCCACCUACUGGGCCAAAGCGGCCUGCAUACGACUAGAAACCCAAAUUCUAGUUGGGCCAGGAUGCAGGCUCGCUAGCCUAGUAGGCCCAACAGGGCAUCGCAGCAGAGGUAGGCCUAGAAGGCCUGCUAAAGAGAGGAGCUCGAGACAGCAGCGACGACGGGGCUUAUAAGCAGGUGUGAGUGCCCCUCGGCUAGCGAGGUGGGACUAAACUUUUGCGCCCCUCGCCUGGCAGCGCACACCCUUUAGUAACGGGUCGUGGCUCUAACCGGUACUAAAGGGGGGGGUGGCCUUUAGUACCGGUUGGCGCCACGACCCGGUACUAAAGGGGGUGCGGUUCCCGCCGCUUCGCCUGGCCAAAACAGACCUUUAGUACCGAUUGGUGGCUCCAACCGGUACUAAAGGUGGGUUCUAUAUAAGAAAACACUUCAAAAAAAUUGUUAGUUUCUCAUCUCUUCCUGCUUCUUUCUCCUCUGCCCCGUCGCCACCGCCCCUCAUCGCCGCCCCCGGUGCCGUCCGUCGCCGUCCCCAUCGCCAUCCAUCGCCGUCGCCGUCCGUCGCCGUCCCCGUCCGUCACCGUCGCCGUCCCCAUCCCCGUCCCCGUCGCCGCACCGUGCCCCGUCGCCACGCCCCGCCCCAUCGUCCCCGCCCGGCCCGGCCCCGUCCCCGUCGUCGCCGCCCCGUCCCCGUCGCCGUCUCCGUCCCCGUCCCCGUCACCGCCCACCGUCAUUGCGCCUCGCCGGUGAGCUCCUGCCCCGGCCGCCAACCACACACACACACACACAUUGUUAUAGAAUUGUUAGCAAUCUUUCUGUUUUUUAGUUAUAGAAUUAUUAGAAAUGUUAGUUUUAGUUAUAGAAAUGUUAGUUAUAUAGAAAUGUUAGUUAUAUAGAAAUAUUAGAAAUGUUAGCUAUAUAGAAAUGUUAGUUAUAUUAGAAAUGUUAGUUAUAUAGAAAUGUUAGUUAUAUAGAAAUGUUUUUUAGUUAUAGAAAUAUUAGAAAUGUUAGUUUUAGUUAUAGAAAUAUUAGAAAUGUUAGUUUUAGUUAUAAAAUUUAGAAUUUGCAUAUAUGAAAUCACAAUCCAUCAUUUAAAAAAUGUUACUUUACUUUUGCGGCAUAUAGUAUUUGUUGUCGACGAUGCCCAGCCCGCAUCCUCGCCGUUGACCCGUUCGCGACGACGUCCUGCUUCAGAGGACCCAUGUCCGGGACUGGGCUCCGCCGGGCUAGCACUGGGAGGUUCUACCUUCAUGGGCGUGACGCUUGGUGAGGAACCCGGCCCCGGGUCCCGUCAUCGACCCUCAUCUCCUUUGGUGGCGUUUGCAUGGGCCACUUUCGGUGCGGAGGGAGCCGGCCCCGCCGGAGGUGGUUCGUCGCUGUGUCAGGGAGGACGAGCACGUCCAUCGCUACGUGGCUGCUAUGGACGUCAGGUUCUCCAAUACCUGGCAGGUUCUUUGGGGAGAUCACCCGAGCUAUGCUCCAGUGAUGGUUCCUUCACUUUGGUUGUCCACCGCCUAGAUUACUCUCUAGCAUUCGAUCUUUAUUAGCUAGCUAGCUAGCUAGUGAUGUAUUCAAUAUAUAAUAUUCGAGUUGAUUUAUUCGAGAUUAUAUAUAUUAUUCGAGACGAUGUAUUCGAGAUUAUGUCUAUUAUUCAAGACGACAUAUUCGAGAUUAUAUUCGAUGAUGCUUAUUAUGUACUAUGAUUGAUUCAGUUUUUCCUUAUUAAUUGAUUGCAUCCAUGCAUUGUAAUUUGAAUAUAUUUCUUUUGGAUUAGUUAAACAAAACCUAUGGCAGACAAUACCGGUAGAGAGGGAGAAGAGGCCCUGUUCAAUAUCAUACGCAAUCCUCACGGGCCAGAUGAUGAUCAGAAUGAAGAAGAUUGUGACGGCUCCGAAUAUCUAAACAACACCGGGGAGGGUGAUAUGAUAUUCGAUUGCGAUGACCGAAUUGAUGAAGUCAUGAACUAUGAACAUGAUGAAGAAAAUGUUGAUCUUGAAACAACAAAGACCGGCGAAGUAUGUAUAUUUAUAUAAGCAGGCAUCUGGUGAUCGUCACAUGUUUUAAAUGACUUGAAGAUAUAUUAAUGAAUCGAUCUUUCUUCUUUCAGCCAUCCGGAUCAAGCAAAUCUUCAGGCAACAGGAAACGAGGCCCGAACAAAAAGUUGAAGGAGGGCGUAAAGUACAAUAUCGAGGCCAUCAAACCUAAUGGCGAACCAUUAGCGCCUCAGAAGAUUGCGGACAAGUUCAUUCGUCAGUGCGGAGUUCUUGUGAAGGACCAACUCCCCAUCUCCCUUCAAGAAUGGAGAGAGCCAGCAAAGCCACGUCCAGGAGUUACUUUUGUCGACGACAGACAAAAACUUAUGCUUUGGGAAACGCUCAUGGAACAUUUCACCCUACCAGAUCAUUUCACAGAUGUAGAUGUGGAGAAAGUCAAGGACGCUGCUCUUAGGAAGAUGGCGGUUGCAUUCAAGAACCACAAGAUAAGUGAAUGGGCCAAGUACGUCAAGGGAGGAAGGAAGACUCCAGUAUUCGAGGGAACACUAGAGAAGCAAAGUGCUCAUUGGGACGAUUUCAUGAAAUUCAAGGAUUCGGAAUUAUCUAAGGAAUGGUCGAGAAUAAACAAGGCCAAUGCCGCAAAAAAGGAUAAGUUCAAUAAGCUGGGGCCAGGUGGCUAUGCGGUGGGAAUGCCUAAGUGGGAUAAGUCCGAGAAAGACAUGCUGGAUGUAGGUGUCACUCCAGAAACAUUGAGCUGGCCCCCCAGGUGCAGGACUUGGUUCUAUGCACAUGGGGCGGAGUUGGACCCGAAGACAGGCAAAGUUUUGAAGAAGGCAUGUCUGGACGGAGCCGAAGAUAAGCUACUUGUUGCAAUAGAAGAGGCUCGAUCGGGGGUGUUCGAGCCCAACAGAGAGAACGACGAGCUUACGCGUGCCCUGGGAAAUCCUGAACACCCGGGAAGAACACGAGGCAUGGGCGCUAUUCCGUGGUAUGAGGGGUUUUCGGACUGGAACACCGACUACAGAACUCGUGCGAGAAAGAAGAUUGCGGAGGAGAAGAAGAGGAAGAUGGAGGAGGAGCAGAGGAAGCUAGACUAUGAAUGCCUUCAAGGCCUAGAAUCAGCGCACACGGACUUGGCAGUCAAAUUCCAGCGGCAAUAGGAGCAGAUCGACUCACUUAGCCAGCAAAGGGGGUCUCAGCAGCUAGCGGAUGAUCCACCAUUGGAUAGCACCGUCCCAUCCAUGCCGAGAAGCAGCGUGGGUUCCGCCCCGGGCGACGCAUUGCUGGAUAGCUACCCAGUGGAUGACAUCAUGGAGAACACUAACUGCGAGCUACACUUCAAAAUGAAGAACAUAUCCAUGAAGGUGGCGGACGCCCUUGCUUUUACAAAUCCCCCCGAGGCAACCUUCCAUUGCAACUUGAUUCCAGCGGGCUAUGCUCGUGUCUUGGUUGAUGAGGUGGUGGACAAAUAUUUGGGGCUAGAGCUUGACAUUCCUGGAGGUGAUGAUGAGCACACACUGGGAGAGGCCAACCAUCGUAUCAUCCUAUGGAGAAAGGAUUGCAUCAUCUUUCGAAGGCCACCGACACCGCGUCAUCCGACUCCUCGUCGAAGUCCGCCACCGAGUCAGCAGACUCCCGCUCCUCCAAGUCCACCAACGCGUCAGGCCACUCCUCCUCCAAGUCCGACACAGCUUCAGGCCACUCCUCCUCCUCCAAGUCCGGCAAAGCGAAAGGCCACUCCUCCUCCAAGUCCGGCACAACUUCAGGCCACUCCUCCUCCAAGUCCGGCACAGCUUCAGGCCACUCCUCCUCCAAGUCCGGCACAGUCAAGCCACUCCUCCUCCUCCAACUCAGCCAUGUCAGCCGUCUUCGCCGCCUCAGCAAUCACGGAAGAGUGUCGCAUCAGCUAUGGUGCAUAGCGGUACAAGUCGAGGUAGUACUGGAGGUACAGGCGGAGGCAAGCGAUUUCAAUAUGGUCCAAGCCUCGUGCCUCUUUCGUAGAGGCCUUACGACAAGUCCGAGGAGGAAAACGUAGCCAUAUCGAAGGCCGAGGUGGAAGCCCAUUUUGCACCGAAACCGCCACCGCCGCUAAGGGAGAAAGUGCUUGUGGAAAAGAUUGACCACUUCAUUCGUAUGGCUAGAGCACCAGCUCCCAAGCCUGUUGACACAUACUAUGAGCGCCACAUCAAGAAGUUAAAUCGAGCACGUCUACAGAAAGAGGCGAGCUCGAGCUCGAGCAAAUCAGCUGGCAAAAGGAGCGGUAAAACCGUUCCCCAGCUGGGAGAAUAGGCGGCGCAAUCAAUCCCCCCGCUUGUUGUGCCAACAACACAUGAGAGUAGGCGCGCCCAAUAUUAUUGUGGGCAAACCGUUAACGCUCCCGGGGUGGGCGAUGUGGUAAUAACCAAGGAGCAUAUUGAGUAGGCUGAAACGAUCGGGAUCACUGUUGGACAACUCCUCGAUAUUGAGCCCAUGUCUCCGACUAGAGAGGAGGAAAUAAAACGGAAAUAUGUCCGGGGCCAACCUUUGGUCGAGCCAGACGAGGUCAAUAAGCUCCCAACGAGAAUGUAUGAAUUGCAUCAAUGGUACAUGGACAUUACAAAGAUUUCCAAUCGAGAGUCCCUCAUGGUGAAUGUCAAGAAGGAUCAUUACUACCAUGAGAAAGCUGUGACCAUUGAGUAUUCAGAACUAUUUCAGCUAUACAAUCAAGACGCACUCGACAAAUCUAUCGUCAGUUGCUAUGGUUUGUAAGUGAUUUCUUUCUGUAAUUUAAGUCUCAAGCUAGCUGUAGUGAUCAUUUGAUCAAUAAUUACCUAUAAUUAUCCUCACUAUAUUCUUUUCUGUGGUAUUAUGCAAGAUGAAGAUUUAUGAAAUGAAAAAAGGUGGACGCUAUGGCAUUUGGUUCGUUGACCCAAAUACCAUUAAUGAAUACACAUGGAAAAUAGAUUCAUAUUACAAAAAAAGUGUAGAGGAAAGCAUGCUAGAGUUCUUCAAGCGCCUCAAAUACAAUGAAGAUAUACUACUUCCUUACAACUUCGAGUGAGUCACACUGUCUUGUACUACAAAUUCUGUUUUUGCCUACUAGCUAGCUACAUGUUUUUGCUUACAUAUGCCCGCUUAAUUAAGACAUGCAAACGUGUGUGCAUGCAGAUUUCACUGGAUCUUGUUAAUCAUUAAAGUUGAUGAAGGAACAGUUGAAGUACUAGACUCACUACUUAAGAAAGCAAGUGACUACACCAUCGUGAAGGGGAUAGUCAACAGGUAAUUUCAAUCAUUAUUAACUAUCUCAGCCUAUUUAAUCAGUUCGUAAUUUCCUGAUAAGAACUAUUUAAUAACAUAUUUAUUCAUUUUCUUUGUCGGCGGGCAGGGCUUGGGCAAAGUUCAUCAGGGCCACUCCAGGCCCAUGGAAACAAAAUCUGAAAUGGUAUCGACCCUAGGUAAGUAAUUAAGUAGUACUAGCUAGCUGCCAUCUCUUUAAUUAUCAUGCUUGAUUAAUUAUUAUCUGAUCAAAUUCCAUUCUCAUAAAGGCCCUGAAGCAGGCGCCGGGGAAUAAUCUGUGUGCAUACUACGUUUGCAAGAACAUUCGCAUGAUGGCGUCCGAAAGGAGCAGAUCUCAAAGACAGGAGUGGGUACGUUUGUCAGAACACUAUUCAUAAUUUUUACACCAUUAUCGAUAUCUAGUCACACAACUAAUACACAUACAUAUUGAUCUCCUUCUUAACAGUUCAAAGAGGUGCGGGAGAAGCUCCUAACAGAGGACCGCAUAGAAGCAAUUCAAGAGGAAAUAGCGGGAUUUUUGCUCGACCAGGUCAUAGAUCCCAAAGGAGAAUACUAUUACCCGCUACCGCCCCCAUGAACCACUUCCAAUUGUUAUCGUGCUCCGAAGGCACCAAUUAGGCUAAUGCCACUGGCUCCAAAGGCACCAANNNNNNNNNNNNNNNNNNNNNNNNNNNNNNNNNNNNNNNNNNNNNNNNNNNNNNNNNNNNNNNNNNNNNNNNNNNNNNNNNNNNNNNNNNNNNNNNNNNNNNNNNNNNNNNNNNNNNNNNNNNNNNNNNNNNNNNNNNNNNNNNNNNNNNNNNNNNNNNNNNNNNNNNNNNNNNNNNNNNNNNNNNNNNNNNNNNNNNNNNNNNNNNNNNNNNNNNNNNNNNNNNNNNNNNNNNNNNNNNNNNNNNNNNNNNNNNNNNNNNNNNNNNNNNNNNNNNNNNNNNNNNNNNNNNNNNNNAUAUAUUAUGAUCGGUUCUACUAGAAAUUCUAUUUAUAUAUAUGCAUAACGUGUACAAUAUGUAGUAUCGUAAAAUACCAGCAAAUGAAAAAGAAUUAAAUGGAAAACACAAAAUUAAAUGAAAAAGAAAUCAUAAACCCAAACCCCCCCAACCUUUUAAUACCGGUUGGUGACACCAACGGUACUAAAGGGCUCCCUACCCCGAAGCUGGCUCGUGCCACGUGGUUGCCCUUUAGCACCGGUUCGUGCUGAACCGGUACUAAAGGGGGGGCCUUUAGUGCCUACACUUUAGCGCCGGUUACCAAACCGGCACUAAAGGGCCUUACAAACCAGUGCUAUUGCCCGUUUCUGCACUAGUGUAUGAAUUUAGUCCUAAUAUGAUGGGCAUCCAAGAGGGAUAUAAUAAAAACUUUCAUAUAAGUGCAUUGAAUACUAAGAGAAGUUUGAUGCUUGAUAAUUGUUUUGAGAUAUGAAGAUAGUGAUAUUAGAGUUGUGCUAGUUGAGUAAUUGUGAAUUUGAGAAAUACUUGUGUUAAAGUUUGCAAGUCCCGUAGCAUGCACGCAUGGUGACCGUUGUGUAACAAAUUUGAAACAUGAGGUGUUAUUUGAUUGUCUUCCUUAUGAGUGGCGGUCGGGGACGAGCGAUGGUCUUUUCCUACCAAUCUAUCCCCCUAGGAGCAUGCGCGUAAUGCUUGGUCUUUGAUGACUUGUAGAUUUUUGCAAUAAGUAUGUGAGUUCUUUAUGACUAAUGUUGAGUCCAUGGAUUAUACGCACUCUCACCCUUCCAUCAUUGCUAACCUCUUCGGUACCGCGCAUUGCCCUUUCUCACCUUGAGAGUUGGUGCAAACUUCGCCGGUGCAUCCAAACCCCGUGAUAUGAUACGCUCUAUCACACAUAAACCUCCUUAUAUCUUCCUCAAAACAGCCGCCAUACCUACCUAUUAUGGCAUUUCCAUAGCCAUUCCGAGAUAUAUUACCAUGCAACUUUCCACCAUUCCGUUUAUUAUGACACACUUCAUCAUUGUCAUAUUGCCUUGCAUGAUCAUGUAGUUGACAUCGUAUUUGUGGCAAAGCCAGCAUGCAUAAUUGAUCAUACAUGUCACUCUUGAUUCAUUGCCCAUCCCGGUACAUAGCCGGAGGCAUUCAUAUAGAGUCAUACUUUGUUCUAGUAUCGAGUUGUAAUCUUUGAGUUGUAAAUAAAUAGAAGUGUGAUGAUCAUAAUUAAUAGAGCAUUGUCCCAAAAAAAGGCCAAAAAGAGAGAGAGAUGCCAAAUAAAAAAGAAAGGCCAAAUAAAAAAUUAAAAAUAAUAAAUAAAAGGGACAAUGCUACUAUCCUUUUUCACACUUGUGCUUCAAAGUAGCACCAUGAUCUUCAUGAUAGAGAGUCUCUUGUUUUGUCACUUUCAUAUACCAGUGGGAAAUUUUCAUUAUAGAACUUGUCUUGUAUAUUCCAACAAUGGGCUUCCUCAAAUGCCCUAGGUCUUCGUGAGCAAGCAAGUUGGAUGCACACCCACUUAGUUUCUUUUGUUGAGAUUUCAUACAUUUAUAUCUCUAGUGCAUCCGUUGCAUGGCAAUCCCUACUCCUUGCAUUGAUAUCAAUUGAUGGGCAUCUCCCUAGCCCAUUGAUUAGCCGCAUCGAUGUGAGACUUUCUCCUUUUUUGUCUUCUCCACAUAACCCCCACCAUCAUAUUCUAUUCCACCCAUAGUGCUAUAUCCAUGGCUCACGCUCAUGUAUUGCGUGAAAGUUGAAAAAAGUUUGACAUUACUAAAGUAUGAAACAAUUGCUUGGCUUGUCAUCGGGGUUGUGCAUGAUGAGAGCAUUCUUGUGUGAUGAAAAUGGAGCAUGACCAAACUAUAUGACUUUGUAGGGAUGAACUUUCUUUGACCAUGUUAUUUUGAGAAGACAUAAUUGCUUUGUUAGUAUGCUUGAAGUACUAUUGUUUUUAUGUCAAUAUUAAACUUUUGUCUUGAAUCUUAUGGAUCUGAAUAUUCUUUCCACAAUAAAGAAGAUUAAAUGGAUAAAUAUGUUAGGUAGCAUUCCACAUCAAAAAUUCUGUUUUUAUCAUUUACCUACUCGAGGACGAGCAGGAAUUAAGCUUGGGGAUGCUGAUACGUCUCCAACAUAUCUAUAAUUUUUGAUUGUUCCAUGCUAUUAUAUUAUCAACCUUGGAUGUUUUAUAUGCUAUUUUAUAUGAUUUUGGGGACUAACCUAUUAACCUAGAGCCCAGUGCCAGUUUCUGUUUUUUCCUUGUUUUAGAGUAUCACAGAAAAGGAAAAUCAAACGGAGUCCAAUUGACCUAAAACUUCACGGAACUUAUUUUUGGACCAGAAGAAGCCCAGGGAGUAUUGGAGUUGGACCAGGAGAGUCCCGGGCUGCCCACGAGGGUGGGGGUGCGCCCACCCCCACGGGCGCGCCCCCUGCCUCAUGGAUAGCCCGGAGAUCCACCGACGUACUUCUUCCUCCUAUAUAUAUCCAUAUACCCUAAAAACUUCCGGGAGCACAACAGAUCAGGAGUUUCGCCACCAGAAGCCUUUGUAGCCACCGAAAACCAAUAUAGACCCGUUCUGGCACCCUGUCGGAGGGGGAAUCCCUCUCCGGUGGCCAUCUUCAUCAUCCAGGCGCUCUCCAUGACGAGGAGGGAGUAGUUCACCCUCGGGGCUGAUGGUAUGUACCAGUAGCUAUGUGUUUGAUCUCUCUCUCUCUCUCUCUCUCUCGUGUUCUUGAGAUGGUACGAUCUUGAUGUAUCGCGAGCUUUGCUAUUAUAGUUGGAUCUUAUGAUGUUUCUCCCCCUCUACUCUCUUGUAAUGGAUUGAGUUUUCCCUCUGAAGUUAUCUUAUCGGAUUGAGUCUUUAAGGAUUUGAGAACACUUGAUGUAUGUCUUGCGUGGGAUAACCGUGGUGACAAUGGGUUAUUCUAUUGAUUCACUUGAUGUAUGUUUUGGUGAUCAACUUGCGGGUUCCGCCCAUGAACCUAUGCAUAGGGGUUGGCACCCGUUUUCAUCAUGACUCUCCGGUAGAAACUUUGGGGCACUCUUUGAAGUACUUUGUGUUGGUUUGAAUAGAUGAAUCUGAGAUUGUGUGAUGCAUAUCUUAUAAUCAUACCCGCGGAUACUUGAGGUGACAUUAGUGUAUCUAGGUGACAUUAGGGUUUUGAUUGAUUUGUGUCUUAAGGUGUUAUUCUAGUACGAACUCUAGGAUAGAUUGAACGGAAAGAAUAGCUUCAUGUUAUUUUACUACGGACUCUUGAAUAGAUCGAUCAGAAAGAAUAACUUUGAGGUGGUUUCGUACCCUACCAUAAUAUCUUCGUUUGUUCUCCGCCAUUAGUGACUUUGGAGUGACUCUUUGUUGCAUGUUGAGGGAUAGUUAUGUGAUCCAAUUAUGUUAUUAUUGUUGAGAGAACUUGCCCUAGUUAAAGUAUGAACCCUAGGCCUUGUUUCAACGCAUUGCAAUACCGUUUACGCUCACUUUUAUCAUUAGUUACCUUGCUGUUUUUAUAUUUUCAUAUUAUAAAAACCUAUAUCUACCAUCCAUAUUGCACUUGUAUCACCAUCUCUUCGCCGAACUAGUGCACCUAUACAAUUUACCAUUGUAUUGGGUGUGUUGGGGACACAAGAGACUCUUUGUUAUUUGGUUGCAGGGUUGCUUGAGAGAGACCAUCUUCAUCCUACACCUCCUACGGAUUGAUAAACCUUAGGUCAUCCACUUGAGGGAAAUUUGCUACUGUCCUACAAACCUCUGCACUUGGAGGCCCAACAACGUCUACAAGAAGAAGGUUGUGUAGUAGACAUCAUCGUGUUCAUCGGGAGGUAACCGACUAGCGUCAAGUUCAUUGGUACCAACCGGCUUGAAAGAAACAGCCGAAACUGGGUCCUGUUCAUCGAGUCGGGGACUGGUCUACUGCAAAAUGGAGGAAAUGAACUUCAGUUCAACAGCCUGCGGUUUAAAUGGGGUCAUGUUCGUCGCAGGGGUCUGACAUACCACAAAACGCAGGAAGCAUACUUCAGUUCAACCGUCUGAGGAAACGGACUUCUCUUCGAGCACCUAUGAUCGAAACUGGGUCAUGUUCAUCUGAAGGGGUGUGGCGUGCCACAAAACGGGACUCCACGAGUUACUGCUCAUCCACUGUCGACUUCCUCCAAGCCUCCACCAGCUACUGUUCAUCCAGCGUCCACGGGGUCCUAUUCAUCCACCCCUAACCGGCUGGGGUGUGGCAGCCUCCUCGUGGUCUUGUUCAUCCAGCGACAACUGCCUACACACGGCCGAUGCCUAUUCAGUCAACCUUCGUCAGGAACUGUUCAUCCACAGCAAACCAACCGGCUAAGUUGACUCACCACGUCUCGACUCGUUCUAUGUAUCACACGCGCGGCAGCAACGGACACUGUUCAUCGAGAGGCAACCCAACAGACUAGCUACGUCUCGCACGGGGCCUCGAUCAGUUGCAGUCAGCAGCGAAGGGAUCAUCGGGUUUAGUUAGCAGCGAAGGGAUCGGUCGGCUUCAGUACGUAGUGGGGUCGAUCGAUCGGUCGGGUUCUGUAAGCGAACGCCUUGCUCGGGUUCAGUUAGAGGGCGCCUCACACACACAUGUGUACGUACGGGAGAAAUGCGCAAACCGCACUGUAUCGCUUGAGCCCGACCAUCCACCAUAACCGGGAACUCCCUGGAUUUUUUCUCGCCCUCACUUCAACCAUGAUUUUUUACUUCACGGAGAACCCAAAGAAUGUCACACAGGUGCAUCUCCGGCCUGCCGAGGGCAAAAAGCGCAAUUUCUAUCAUGAUUUUUUAUCAUAGAAGUAGGAGCCCACCACAUCUACGAUGAUACGUGUUUUUGUCACAAUUAUCGUCAUAGAAGUGUCACAACCAUGACAGAAAUAGUUUACGUUCAGGCCAUAAUGUCAUGGAUGUGUCUUUUUAGUGAAGGGAGAGAUAGGAGACGCUUUUGGACGUCGCCGGCGGGAACAGGCAAAGAGCGCUCGGGAGUAGCAGGUGCAAGCAAAAAAUGAGAGGAAGGCUAACGUGCAUGCCAUUCUAAGUGCAACAUAAAACAACAAACUGAUAACAAGACACAACACCAUUAGUCUCGGACACCCGCGUCGCCUCUCUCGGGCGACACGGGGGAACACCACCGGCGCCGGCUACUUCCUCCCCCCCCCCUCUGCCCCAGCACCUCACCGUCGCCUAAGGAGCCCGCAGGCAAAGCCCGGUCAGGCUCCAGGGAGGGUGGCAGCGGGGCUUCUCUCAGGGUGGCCCAAGGGUGGAUCUGGCGUGUGAGCUCGGCGGGGUCUGGCGGGCGAGCGGGCGCGGCUCCGGUGAUGGCUGACGCGGAACCAGUGGUCCGAGAGUAGGGGCGGCGCGGCGGUGGCCUCACGGUGACCAGAUGCGGCGCGGACGGCGGGGGGUUCCAGCGCGGGCGACCGCGUUUUGGCGGAUCGAGGGCUCGGCGAGGCUGGGCCCGGUGGUGGCGGCGUGGGCAGCUCGGCGACUCGGCGGACGGUGCACUGCGUGCGCCUCGGCGCGCCUUGUCCCUCGCUCGGGUUGGUGGUGGUCCAGGCUGCAGGUCCCACGGAGGCGGCUGCUCCUCCGGUGGCGCGACGGCUGGGCGGUGUGGCGAGUAGGCACGGCAACGGCGGUGGCCUCGCGACGUCCAGCGGUGGAUCGAGGUUAGGUGGCUGCGACCGCUCUAUCUUGCUCGUGUGGCUCUGGCUUCCGGUGGUUCAGAUCUGGUGCGGCUCGACUGUAGCCUUCCGGUGGCGGCUUUGGCUGUCCUUCGGCCCUCUGAGGCAAGGCUUGGGGCGAGGCCGCAGUCUGGCCAGGCCCUCCCUUGCCUCCAGAUUUGCGAUGUGGGCUCCAUGUCGUCGGGCUCCUGCCGACGGUGAUGACGAUGAUGUGGCAGCUCUUGGGCUCCGGGGCGGCGGCCCCGGGUAUGGUGGUGGCGGCUUCGGCCAGGAGGUGGUGCGAAUCUGGUCGCGGUGGAUCGUGGGAUCCCGUGGCCAGAGUGAGGUCGGCCUCGGCAGGGGUGGUGGUCAGUGGGCGGCGGUCGGUGGUGAUAGGUGGUCGGCACAUCUCCGGGAGAAAUCCUUGCUCCGGUCUUCACCGGAGCCGGUGACGGCGGCGCCUGCGGGUGCCGUGAUCUUUCUUGGAAGCAUCACCGUGCAGUUUCUCCUUCUCCCCAUGGCUUGGGCUUCGGAGGGAAACCUCAGAUCCAUUGGAUCGGGCGAUGGAGGCGUCUUCGUGUCUUUCUCCUCCUUGGGGGCAUCGUCUCAGAGCCGGCUAUGACUGAGAGACUGAGGAUGAUGGCAUCUUCGCCGUCGAUGGCGGCAUCUUCGCCGCGUGGUUUGCUGAGGCGGGGCGCUGGUUUCUAUUUGGCAACGAUCAUGGCAUCGAGAGGAUCUUGGGUCAUGGCGUGGUCUUCGGUAGUCGGUUCUUCCCGACGUGUCCGAGGUGCUCUUUUCGGCACGGUCGGCGCAAGUCCUGGAUGUUUCCCCUGUGUUGCUCAUCGUCAAAGUCAGAGUUGUCGGUUGCUUGCGCGUGUGCCAUCCGUUGGCAUGUGCCGUCGUGGCUUCUGUUCCAUGUCGGUGGCUAGGUUGGCCGAUGGUGCCCAUGUCAUGUGGGUUGUGUUGUAUCGGUUUUAGCCCGAUUUUCCCUCAAUUAAUUGGACAAUUCUCUUCUUCUUAAUCAAUGAAAAUGGCAAGUCUUUUGCCUCGUUUCAAAAAAAUAAAAAGACACAACCACCUUAAGAAAAAGACCCAGCUAAUCUCCGGGAGCAUUCAGAUAUGGCUGAGUGCUACCAGUCAGUUGAGUCAUCACCGCACCGCUGUCUGCUUGCUCGACAAACCAAAGCAAAAGGGCGAUCUGAAGGCGAUCUAGGUUUUGCCCACGGCCGCCGGCAGUGGGUGCCGCCGCCUGUCUGCUGUUUAAUACUGCAGGGGUCAUGGGCCCCUCUUGGCCACUAGCGUGAUGUCCUGAUCUGAUCCUGAUGAGAGAAGGAGUAGAGAAGAGGUAGUGUCGUUCUUGGUUCUGUGGUUUGCUGGCUUCUUCAGAGGAUCGGAAGCCUGCAUAGUUCAUGUCCCAACGCGCGUCUCACGAAGCUGGUUUUCUGUCCCGGCACAUCUCUUUUGCCUUGCAAGGUGUUGUGAUCGGUUUACUGUCCCUCCGUAGUGUUCCGAUUGUGGUAGGGUUUUUAUUCAGUUUGUCUGCUCAAUCGACUUUGUCGGAGAAGUAUCGUGUGAGUUUUAGAAGGAUUAAAUUUUAUUGGUGGCGGUCUCCGAGGUGAGGGAGGCUGACCGGAUGCAAUGAAAAUACUUAGUUGGAAUUGUCGCGGCUUGCAGCAAGGCGCAGCGGUCAGGGCCCUCCUUGAAGUUCACACGAGCAGGAGCCCUGACAUAGUUUUUCUAUCGGAAACACAUUUAGAUGAAUUCCCGGCAGAGUGUCUGAGGAGGAGAAUGAAGAUGGAUCAUAAGGAGGUGGUCCAUAGUGAUGGUAAAAGUGGCGGGUUGGUUCUAUACUGGAAGGAGGAAGUGGUUGUCUCUCUGAAGUUCAAGACAAACAAUUUCAUUGAUGUAUAUGUUGGAAACAAUCUGGAUAAUAUGUGGAGGUUCACUGGUAUGUACGAUGAACCACGUUGGGAAGAUAAGCAUCUCACCUGGCAGAGGAUGUGUGAUCUAGCUGGCAUUAGUGAUAUGCCUUGGUUGAUCAUGGGAGAUCUGAACGAUAUUGCCUAUUCUUUUGAAAAAGAGGAGGGAGACCUCGUCCAGACAGAUAUAUGAAGGCAUUCCGCGAUGCUCUUGAUGACUGUCAUCUUGUUGACUAUAGAUAUGUGGGAGAUAAAUUCACUUGGCAAUGAGGCAUGAUCCGAGAAAGAUUGGAUAGAGCACUUGCAAACGAUGGGUGGCAAAGGAAAUUUGCGAAUGCUACUGUACACCAUCUGAAUUAUAGCAAGUCUGAUCAUAGGCCUAUUCUGAUGUCUCUGGAUGAAGAGCCGGUGCACGAGCAUAAUGGGCCCGCCCUGCUCAGGUUUGAAUCAAGAUGGCUGAAGGAGAAAAGAUUUUUGGAAGUUGUGCAACAAGCAUGGGAUUGGUCUCAUGCUCCAGCUGGGAAUGUUUCGCUGGCUGACAGAUUAGCGGCUAUCCAUAAGGACCUGCACGUUUGGGACAGAUCAGUCCUUAAAGGUACAAAGAAUAAACUUCACAGUGUAAAAAAGGAGAUGGAAGAGGUCUCGAGGUGAGAACUGUCCAAUGGAAAUGUAGCGAGGAAGAAGGAACUAUCGAUGGAGAUAGAAAAAUUACUAGAGAUGGAAGAAAUGUAUUGGGCUCAACGAAGCAGGCUGAAUUGGCUGCAGUUUGGAGACCGUAACACGGCCUAUUUCCAGAACUUUGCCUCAGCAAGACGUCUGAGAAACCGUAUUAAAAAACUAAGGAAUGCCUAGGGUGUUUGGCAAGAAGGUACGGCGUAUUUGAAUCCUCUAAUUUAAGAUUAUUUUGCUGGUCUAUUCUCUACAGAGAUUGAGGAACCGGACCCAGUUUUCAUAAAUCAUAUCGUGCCUCGUGUUACGGAAAACAUGAACAAUGAGCUUCUGAAACCAUACUCUGCGGAGGAGGUGAAAAAGGCUUUAUUCUCUAUAGGUGACACAAAAGCACCAGGUACGGAUGGAUUGCAUGUCGUGUUCUUUAAAAAAUGUUGGCACAUUUUUGGAGAUUUACUUACAAGUGAAGUGUUGAGCGCAAUAAAUAAUAAAGUUGUUCCUGAUGGUUGGAAUGAUACUGUGAUAGUUCUAAUACCUAAAGUGGAUUCCCCAGAAAAUAUAUCACAGUAUAGGCCUAUCAGUUUAUGCAAUGUCUUAUAAAAAAUCAUCUCUAAAAUGAUUGCUUUUCGUUUAAAGGCUAUUUUGGAUGAAGUAAUAUCUCCUGUCCAGAGUGCUUUUGUACCUGGGAGAUCAAUUUCUGACAACAUUCUCAUCACCUAUGAAAGUAUGCAUACUAUAAAAAACAAGAAGGGCAAGAUAGGAUAUUGUGCAGUAAAGCUUGAUAUGCACAAGGCAUAUGACCGCGUUGAAUGGAUUUUUUUGGAAAGAAUGUUGAGUAGGCUCGGCUUUCAUGGUGAUUUUAUUGACUUGUUGAUGGCCUGUGUCAGUUCAGUUAAAUACAGAGUCAGAUUUAAUGAUCAAGAGACAGAUAUGUUUGUGCCAAGCAGGGGCCUCCAUCAGCGGGACCUGUUAUCACCUUAUUUGUUUCUCUUAUGUGCAGAAGGGUUUUCAAGUGCUCUAGCUCAACAAGAGGAGGUUCGUGACAUAGAGGGUGUUCGGGUGUGCAGAAAUGCACCAUCAGUAUCUCAUUUAUUAUUCGCUGAUGAUUCCCUUAUACUCAUGAAGGCAAAUAUGAUUAAUGCAACCUCGUUGAGAUCAGUGCUUGAUGCUUAUUAUGCUAAUUCAGGCCAGCUUAUUAGUGAAGCCAAAUGCAGUAUUUUCUUCAGUCCAAAUGUUGAUGUGGAAAUAAAAGCCCAGAUGUGUACUGAACUUAAUAUCGACACUGAAGCAAUUUCUGAAAAGUACCUGGGCCUACCCUCUAUGGUGGGGCUGGAUAAAAGUGAUAGUUUUGUUUAUUUGCUUGAAAGGACCAUCGAAAGAUUGAAGGGAUGGAAGGAGAAGCUACUUUCCACAGGGGCGAAAGAAAUUCUCUUGAAGGCAGUAAUUCAGUCCAUUCCAGUGUUUGCCAUGGCUGUUUUUAAGAUCCCCAAAAAAUUAUGCAAAGAGAUGAAUGAUGCUAUGUCUGCCUUUUGGUGGGGAGAUUCUGAGGAUCAAAAGAAGAUGCACUGGUUUUCUUGGUGGAGAAUGUGUGUUCCAAAAAAGUUGGGCGGCAUGGGAUUUCGAGAUCUAUUUUCAUUUUAACAUGGCUAUGCUCUCAAAACAGACAUGGAGAUUGCUAAACAAUCCUGACUCACUUUGUGCUCAAGUUUUGAGAGCGAAAUAUUAUCCUGAUGGGAAAUUACUGAAUGCAGGUCCAAAAAAAGGCUCUUCUUACACCUGGCAGAGCAUUUUUACAGGACUACAAACUUUUAAGCGUGGACACAUUUGGAGAGUUGGCUCAGGAGGAAAAAUUAACAUUUGGGAGGACCAUUGGAUCCCAAAUAGUCAUUCCAGGAAAGUUUUUACCAGGAGGGGAAACUGUAUUUUGCGUACUGUUGAUGAGUUGAUUGAUCAACAUAAUGGUAGCUGGGACGAACAACUUAUCAGAGAUAUUUUCUUACCCAUUGAUGCGAACAAUAUUCUUGCAAUCCCGUUGAGUCCACAUCUACAUGAAGAUUUUGUGGCAUGGCAUAAGACAAAAAACUUUUUGUUCUAUGUCCGUUCUGCCUAUCACAUUGAAUGGGAUCAUCAGUUCAGCGCACGAACUGGAAGAGAAGAUGGGCAAGGCUCUGCUGAACCGAACCCGGUGUGGGACAUUUUAUGGAAGCUGAAAAUUCCAAGUAAGAUUAAGGUGUUUAUAUGGAAGGCUCUGCAUGGUACAGUUCCAGGCAUGGCGAUUCUUUCUUCGCGACACAUACCCGUCUCACCACAGUGCCCUAUUUGUCGGUCGGGUCCGGAGAAUAUUCGGCACUUGUUAUUUACAUGCACUCGUGCACGGAAGGUUUGGUCUGCACUCGGGCUCCUCGAUAUCAUUGAUGAUGCACUGAUUGCAGACAUGUCAGGAUCAGUAGUACUUAAGCAUAUUAUUUGCAACCCAAACAGGAAGUUGCCGGUCCUAGGUAUGUUAGGAUUGCAGGAGUCAGUAACCGUUGCGUGUUGGUAUGUAUGGUGGCAAAGGAGGGAAGCAGUGAAGGGCGAAACUGUAGCAGAUCCCCCCCGGACGGCCUUUGCGAUUCAGGCUCUAGCAUCAAAUUUUGGAGUUGUUUCCCAUUCCAGUAAACCACAUGAAAUAACAUGGGAAAAGCCAAGCCGAGGAUGUUAUAAAUUAAAUACAGAUGCUGCUUUCCGCCAAGAUGGUUCGGGUGCAGUUGGGGUCGUCAUACGUAAUAGUGCAGGUGAAGCUGUGGCAGGAGCUGCAAGUCCUUUUCAUACGGCCUUUGAUAUUGCUUCAGCGGAGGCCCUUGCACUGCUAAAAGGACUAGAAUUAGUUGAGAAGUUGGACUACACCCAUAUCACAUGUGAGUCCGAUUCAUUGGAGCUCAUUCAGGCAUGCAAUGGGGAGCUGGAGAUCUAUGGUCCUUAUUCUGCGACUUUAGCUGACUGCUUUGCGAGAGCCAAGAUGAUUGAUGGAGUUUCUUUCUCCCGUUGCCCUAGGGAAGCCAAUCGAGUUGCUCACCAUCUGGCGAAGCACUCUUAUGAUACUCAGUCUGCUUUUGAUUGGGAUGGAGAUCCACCCAAUUUCAUUGUUCCUUAUGUAAUAAGUGAUGUAACUCUUUUGACUGUGAAAUAAAACACCGAUAGGCUUUCCCUUAAAAAAAUCACCGCAAGCAACAAGCGAUGGGCGCUAAUAGGCGGACCCAACCUCGUUAAUCGUGGCGGUGACCCAGCGACAAACAACAUGCGCUGAUAAGUGGACUCGGCCUUGCCAAUCGCCCCUGGUGCAAACCCUGACCGGACGACCAUCUCUAAGAGUAAUUUCAAUGGGGCGACCCAUUUCAUCCGCGGCCGUCCGUUUGAUCGGCGCGGAUAAAAAAACCGGUCUAACGCGCCGAUCCAAACGGAUGCGCGUCCAUUUUCGUCCGCCUGCCGAUCCAUUUCCGGCCCAUUUUUUAGCCCGAUUUGCAUCGGCGCAGACACGCGACGGACACACACGCGCUCGUCCUUUUUUCUCACUGGGCCCGCUGGUCAGUGGAACAUUGGAUUCACACCCUCGCCCGCCUGCUUUGUCGUCGACGCCGCCGGCCAUUUUUUAGAUAAAAAUGGAUACAUAGAUAGUUCUAGCGUACACAGAUAAAGAAAAGACCACUACUCGUCGCUUUCUGACUCUGACUCGGUAAUGUCCUCCUUCAAUGUCUGAAUGUAGGCGUCAGCAUGCUGCUCGUCUUCAAAGUCCCAACCCGACGUUUCUCGUAGCUUCAGUUUCAAUUGAGCUGUCUGCUUCCGCGAACGCUUGUCCUCCCGAUAGGCGGCUCGCUCCCUCCUCCCCGCAUCCCUCUCCAACCUCCUUUGCUUGUAGAACUGGCGCUCGUCGACGAUGUCUUGCGAGAAGCGUUCGCGCCACACCACCAAGGCUUCCACGUCCAUCUCGGCAAUGACGAGGCGACGAUGCCGCCUCCGGUGGACACGACGAUCCUCGUCGAUGAAAAGCCGCGGGAGAGGCGCCAGAUCCUGCGCCGGCUGGGUCGACACGUUGGGAAAAUUCAUAUACCGACGAGGCCUCAGGAGGCGCCACGCCGCCGCGUCGUGCGCGCGGGGCACCUCCUCUGCGGUGUUAAAGGUGCCGAGGAUGAGACGUUUCUCGUGAAACCAAAUCUCGGAGGAGAAGGCGCCGGAGCGGCGCUCGCGAACUCCUCGAAAAUCCGAAGCGCCCAGGCGGCGGAUCGACAUGUUGGCGCAGAGGCGGCGAGGCUAGUGAGAGGGGGCGAGACGAGUGGGCGGCGGACAGAGUGUGGAGGGAGCGCCUUCUUAUAACGAGCGCCGGCAGCGGCGCGCGCGCGAACAUUUCCCGCGCGCGCGAACCUUUCCCCCGCGCGCGCGAACCUUUCCCGUGCGCUAGAGCGCCAAAGCCAGGGCGAUGGCAUGGACGCUGGCAUGAUCUAAGACGCGUGCGGUCAUGAAAUGAGGCGGCCCGUUGGACGCACUACCGACUCAAAACUAAAAGUGGGCGGACGGCAGGCGGGCGGCCGACCCAAACGGACAAAAACGUCAUCCGUUUGGGUCGGCCCGUUGGAGUUGCUCUAACCACCCGGACUUGGCUGGAGCGACCGCGCGCACCGACCUAGACCGAGCGAAACAGCCCCUUAAAGGUGGGCUUGGCUCGCCCCUCGUGCAAACGACCCUAACAGCCUAGCCCCACAUGCGAGCCGGCGUCGCGGGCGGCACGCAUGCCCCUGCUGUCGUGACCCAAGCAGCCCAGGGUCGGCUAGAGAGGCCGAUGUGCGGGUCCAAGUAGCCCAUCCACGGGACAACGCGCGAAAGGGCGCCCACGGGCGCAACCGACGCCACCGCAUGUGUGACCCCGCGUGAGCCCCGCGGUCUACUCGUCAUGGACCGUGAAGAUGGAUUGCCUAGGUCAGAGUCGUCCGGGCAGAUCGAACGGCGUGGAGAGCCCCCCGAGAGGCUCCCGUGUCACGCCACCCGGAAACGGACGACGCGGAGGCGCUUUUCGCCCUCGAGGAGCCUUAAGAGGUAGGUACUCCAUCAUCCUUUAUAGGAGUAAUACCCAAUUACUUCUAUAACUGCACGCAAAUUCAGAAACACCAACCAUGACCACUGGAUUUGAGAUCUAAUGCUCAGAUGACCUCGGAUCACGGUAGCAGCUAAGGGCAACUGUAUCCCAAACUAAAAAAAGCUGUACCUCCUUACAAGAUUCUCUUUUUAGGAGUUAAGUCAACUCUAACCGAACCCUCAAAAUCUUUAACUCAAAAUUUUGAGGAGAAGCAUCGACCACCAUUUAAAUUUGAGCAGCCAAACACAACUCUCAUUAAAUGAUUUGAUUAGACGUGUCCACAUCAUCGCCGUCUCCACCACGGUCCUUGCCUCCGGGGACCACCACGCACGCCCAUCGACAACCCUCAAUCCCGCUGAACUCCUGCCAAAUUCCAGUGAACUUUUUCUUUGAUUUCUCGCCGUCCCCGGUCAUGGCUACUUCCGCGCUACUCCUGGUCGUCCCCAGUCAUGGCCGCACUCCUCGCCUCCAUCCUCGACGGAGCAUCACAACACACACACCAUCACGUGCAGACCAACCUACAUUGGACACCUACAUGGUUUCCAAUUGCCGUCGCUGAUUCUGAUGAAUCAUUGUGUCCCGAACCAUGCAAUCGAGCCACAAGGUGAAUGAAGAGGAGAUGAACUCAUUCAGACAAAGAAUUACCCAAUCCGUGGCCCGUGGGGGACGAAUUAGCCGACUUUCUUGACUACUUCCUUGCACGCAUAUUUCGCGCUUGGUGAGGUUCUAUUAAAUUGCUUUUGCAGAUCAUCUAUCUUUAGCCAUAACUAUCUCCUGGACAUCAUCUACUGCAUGAAAAUCGUCGAUGGCCGUGUGGAAAGAAGAGGGAAGAAGGAAAAAGAGAGUGCGAGAGGCAUUCAUGCGUAGUUUAGUUCAUUUGAGGAGUUAAAUGUGAGGGUUCGGUUAGCUACACAUUUCUUUUAACUCUCAAAUUUGAGGACCUAACAAGGCGUUUGCGAAGUUAAUAUUUAGCAGUUCAGUUAGAGAUACCCUAAUAUUUUCUCUAUGCAGAGGAUGCUAGAGGAUGCCAAAUUGUUCGCUCCGUCGGGGGAUUCGCCUGGUCGGGUUCAUUUCUGCGGCAACGAAUAAAGCAAUUACAUGGACCAGAUAUAGAUUCGCUCACCGUCCUCAAGAAAGCAAAAUUCGUUAAGAAAAAUGGAGAUUCGCUCACCUCAAAUAUGGGGCCAUCAUCGCGAAACAUCAUCGUUGGAGUUGGUGGAGGCACCGUGUGCUUGCUAGAAGGAUGGUCAGGCAAUGAGAUUCCAGGAGCUAGGCGUGUUUUAAGUGCCGCUUUCUCUCCGUCCGUUUGCCACGCGUUAGAGUAUCACAAUUCUAUUUGUCCAAUCAGCUUUUCAACUUAAGAGCAUACAAAAAGUAAAAAAUGUAUUUGAAGUUUCCAUGAAAAUUGUAAAAUGAUCCCAUGGAAACUGACGGAAGAAUUUCAACUUGUUGUAAAUUAUCUACAAAAUUGCCAUGCAGACAUUUCCAAAAACAUUCCUAUAAAAAUGUUGUUCAUUACAAUUUGCCCCUGGGAAUCUCUUUUCGAAAAAAAAUUGCCGUGUGUACAAAAAACAAAAAAACAAAAAACUUAAAGGUUUGCCAUGUUAGCGUUGUCUAUUAGAAAAACACAAAAACAGUUCUUAAAAUAAUAAAAAUGCCAUGCUCUUAAUAAUAAAAAUGACAUGCUCAUAAUCGUAAACAUAACAUGCUCUUAACAAGAAAAAUGUCAUGCUCUUACGUAUUAAAAAUGCCAUGCUCUUAAUAAUAAAAAUGUCAUGCUAUUUAUAAUAAAAUGCCAUGUUCUUAAUAAUAAAAUUGUGAUGAUAAAAAUUAAAAUUUCCAUACUGUGUAUUUUAUUUGUCAAAACAAAAAACCACACGAAAAUAAAAUGACUUGAUUCAUAAAUUAAAAUUUCCAUGCCAUUUAAAAUAAAUUUACCGUCCUAUAGAUUUAAAAAUGCCAAAUUCUUAAAAAAAUAAAAUUGCCAAGCUCUUAAUAAUAAAAAUACCAUGCUCUUAAUAAUAAAAUUUCCCCGCUCCUAAUAAUAAAAAUGGCAUGGUCUUAAUAAAAAUUCCAUGUAGUUUUACAAAAAUUGCCAUGGUUUUCAGAAACGCUUUCUAUUCUUUCUAGAAAAAACUAACGUCCACACGUGUGGCAUCUUGCACAUCGCCCACACGCCUCAUUUAUCACUCAUUUUGCCACAUGUGAACAAAUGACAUCAGCAGGAUUUUUUUUGGUUUUCGGCUUAAAUUUUUUUUAUCUCCUAAUUAAAAAAACAAAUUAAAAAUCCAUUUUCACCAUUAAAUUCGUCUCGACGAGAUCUUCAAAACUAGACCCCGUGUUGAUAUGUUUCGAUGAAUUUUUUUUUCCCCAAAAGUUGCUAUGAUGUUUACACUGUAUUUGUCAUAGUGCUUAAACUAAAGUUGCCAUACGGCAAUUUAAGUUUGUAGAGCAUGGCAUUUUUAGUAUUUUGAUGAUGGCAACUCCAAUACUUUGUCCAUGAAAAUUAGUUUUUGUAUGAACCAUGGCAAUUUUGCGUGCAUGUAUCAUGGCAAGUCUAGUUUCUUAAUUCACCGUUUUAUAAAUAGCAAAAUUUACUUUUAAAUGUGGAAGAAAAUAGCUGAAACAUAUCGUAGCAACUUUAGCGUAAACACCAUGGCAAUUCAUGUGCAAUAGACAUGGCAACUUUUAACCCCCCAAAAAAUCGUCGAAAUAUAUUGAUAUGAGAUCUAGUUUCGAAGAUCUCGUCGCGGGGGAUUUAAUGGUGAAAACGGAUCAUCAAUCAGAUUUUUUAUUUAAGAGAUAAAACAUUUUAAAAACUGAAAAUCCAAAAAAAUUCCCACAUGCAUGCAUACGGUGACAUGACGUAGUAUGUUUGUUAUAGGGCGUGUGUGCAGAUUUCGCUCCCACCACAUGUGUGGGCGUUAGCGUUGUCCUUCUUUUUUAUCAUGGACUAUAACUAAAAAUCUCAAAGAAGCCAAUAAUUUUGGCAAACUAUCUGUAAAACAUGACAAACAAUACAAAAAUUGCCAUUUUUCUAAAGAACACACAAAAAGUAUAUGAGUUGCAGGUGGUUCGUUAAUCAAAAAGGGACUGCGAAAAACACGAAUUUGUUAUCUUGUUGCAUCUUCCCUACUUAUGACACACACAAAAGCACACAUUGCCACGAUAUAUUCUUACUAAAAAAUUAGGAAUGUUGAUUUUCAUUGUUCACCGAAAAAUGUUAUGCAACUUGAGAAAACAUCCCAUGAAAUUAGCCAUGUCAACUAUAAAACAACCAUUUGUGUUUAUACAAAGGACAUGGCAAUUUAUUUGGGAAAAAAGAUUGUGCCAUGCCAACUUUUUUGGAAUUUGUAAGGGGCACAUGGGGGAAUUUGGGCAUUUUAUUCUUUGAAACUACCAUGGGUUAGAGCAAAUAGUUCUUAAAAAUGCCAUGGUCUUUUUUUGCCAUGACCUAUAGAAAGAAAAACAGUUCUAAGUUGUCGUAUGUAUCAACCAAAAAAUACCAUGUUGAGUUCUUAAAACCUGAAAUUCCAGUGGUUGUAGCACAAAUAUAAGGCUGCUUUUGGUCAAAAUCCAUAUGUAUCAACACAUGGGAAAGUUGGGCAUUUUCGUUCUUUGAAACUACCAUGUUCUAGAGUAAACAAUUUUAAAAAAUGCCAUCAUCUUUUUUUGCCAUGAUCUAAAGCAAAAACAUUUCUAAAAUUGCCAUAUGUAUCAACAGAAAAAUGCCAUGUUAGGUUCUUAAAACAUGAAAUUCCAAUGGUUGUAGCAUAGAUAUAAUGUUGUUGUUACUCAAAUCCAUCGAUGAAAAAUGGAGCUAAUAAGAAAGCUUCAGAAAAUGGCGUAUAGCUGCAAACGACGAGGCCAGGCCCGACCUCCUCCCACGUACCUUGUCGAGCCAGACCUCCUUGUCGUGUCAUCAUAUAGCCCCACCUCCCCCCGCACCGUCGUCAAGCUCGAUUUUCUCCCGUGACGGUGACACGCAUGCUCCUCUAAAGCAAAAUUGAUGGGGGAUGACGACGCCAACUCUCAGCCCUUAUCUUUUUUGCUUUGAUGAUGGAUGAGGUCACAAGGGAUAUACAAGGAGAUAUCACAUGGUGUAUGCUCUUUGCGGAUGAUGUGGUGCUAGUCGAUAAUGGUCGGGUGGGGGUUAAUAGAAAGUUAGAGCUAUGGAACUAAAACUAAGUACAUGAGGUGUGAAUUUAGUACUAUUAGGCACGAGGAGGAGGAGGUCCUUGGUGGGCAGGUUGUACUUUAGAAGGACACCUUUCGAUAUUUGGGGUCAAUGUUGUUUUAGUAUGGGGAUAUCUAUGCAUAUGUGAACCAUCGAAUCAAAGCCGGUUGGAUGAAGUGGAAUCAAGAUUCUGGCGUUCUCUGCAAUAAGAGAAUGCCGCAAAAGUUAAAAGGCGGGUUGUAUAGGACAGUGAUUCGACUCGUAAUAUUGUAUGGCGCUGACUGUUGGCCGACUACUUGGCAAGAUGUUCAACAAUUAGGUGUAGCAGAGAUGCACAUAUUGAGAUGGAUGUGUGGCCACACAAGGAAGGAAUAGAUCUAGAAUGAUGAUAUACAAGACUUAGUCGGGGUAUCAUCAAUUGCAGAGAAGCUUGUCCAACAUCGUCUGAGAUAGUUUGGGCAUAUUCAGCGCAUGCCUCUAGAAGUUUUCAGUGCAUAGCGGACGGCUAAAGCGUGUGAUAAUGUCACAAGAGGUCGGGUAGGCCAAACUUGACAUGGGAGGAGUUCAAAAAGAGAGAUCUAAAGGACUGGGGUAUAACCAAAGAACUAGCCAUGAACAGGGAUGCGUGAAAGCUAGCUAUCCAUGUGUCAGAACUAUGAGUUAGUUGAGAGAUCUUAUGGGUUUCAACUCUAGUCUAUCUCAAUUUGUUUGUGACAAAAGACUUAUGACAACAACAACACCUGCAGGGUGUCCACGGAGAUGAACACAUUAGCGCUCGUGGCAGCUCCCUCGGCGCCACGCUACGGUAGCCUGAGGAUGGCCUGUGGCGGCAGUGGGCACGGGGAAAAACACUAAGUAUAUGUCGACGAAGCCAUUUUCUCUUGAAAAGUCGCUCGUGCCGCCCCACCCCGCGGGCGCUCCGGGUGAAACCUAGCAGCCGCACCAGCCUCCUCCAGAUCCACCCACCUCCCCUCGCCGCCGCCGGCAAGCGCCACUGGGCAAAGCCCGCACGGCAUCGGCGGCGGCGGGGCCUUCCUUUUCUUCCCAAUCGCGAGGCUAUGGCGGUGCGGUGCCGUCCGACCAAGGAGAGGCGCGGGGGCGCGGCGCACGCGAGGAGCAGGCAUGGUCGGUGCGGCGCGUGCGGCGUGCGGGCGUCGGGACGCCAGGCAAGCAUGGCGAGCGGGCGUCGGGGCGCCAGGCAGGCGCGGCGAAUGGGCUGGCGNNNNNNNNNNNNNNNNNNNNNNNNNNNNNNNNNNNNNNNNNNNNNNNNNNNNNNNNNNNNNNNNNNNNNNNNNNNNNNNNNNNNNNNNNNNNNNNNNNNNNNNNNNNNNNNNNNNNNNNNNNNNNNNNNNNNNNNNNNNNNNNNNNNNNNNNNNNNNNNNNNNNNNNNNNNNNNNNNNNNNNNNNNNNNNNNNNNNNNNNNNNNNNNNNNNNNNNNNNNNNNNNNNNNNNNNNNNNNNNNNNNNNNNNNNNNNNNNNNNNNNNNNNNNNNNNNNNNNNNNNNNNNNNNNNNNNNNNNNNNNNNNNNNNNNNNNNNNNNNNNNNNNNNNNNNNNNNNNNNNNNNNNNNNNNNNNNNNNNNNNNNNNNNNNNNNNNNNNNNNNNNNNNNNNNNNNNNNNNNNNNCGGGCGCGGCUGGCCGGUUCCGCCCGCUCGGCCGCCGUGGGGGUGCGGGGGUGCUGCGGUCGGCUUUGGCCAGAUCUGGCCUCUGGCAACCUGUGGCUGGAGGGCUGGCUCGAGGAGGCACCAGGUGUCAUUGGAGAGUGGCUGCGUUUCGCGCCUAGUCCGGCGACGUGUGGUGGCUGCAGCGGUGGUGUCGGGGAUGGCUGAUGGUUGCUGUUGGGGAACGUAGUAAUUUCAAAAAAAAAAUCCUACGCACACUCAAGAUCAUGGUGAUGCGUAGCAACGAGAGGGGAGAGUGUUGUCUACGUACCCUCAUAGACCGGCAACGGAAGCGUUGACACAACGUAGAGGAAGUAGUCGUACGUCUUCCCGAUCCAACCGAUCCAAGUACCGAACGCACGGCACCUCCGAGUUCUGCACAUGUUCAACUUGGUGACGUCCCUCGAGCUCCGAUCCAGCUGAGUGUUGAGGGAGAGUUUCGUCAGCAUGACGGUGAUGAUGUUCUAUCGUUCCAGGGCUUCGCCUAAGCACCGCUACGAUAUGACCGAGGUGGAAUAUGGUGGAAGGGGGCACCGCACACGGCUAAGGAACGAUCACGAAGAUCAACUUGUGUGUCAUGGGGUGUCCCCCUGCCUCCGUAUACAAAGGAGGGAGGGGGAGGUGCGGUCGGCCCCUAGGGGUGCACCUGGAGGAGUCCUACUCCCACCGGGAGUAGGACUCCCCCCUCUUGCCUUGUUGGAGAAGGAAAGGGGAAGGGGGAAAGAGGAAAGGGGACGCCACCCCCCCCCUUCCUUGUCCUAUUCGGACUAGGGGGGAGGGGCACGCGGCCUGCCCUGGUCGGCCCUCCUCUUCUCCCUUAGGGCCCAUGUAGGCCCAUUAACCCCUGGGGGGUUCCGGUAACCCCCCGGUACUCCGGUAAAAUCCCGAUUUCACCCGGAACGAUUCUGAUAUCCAAAUAUAGGCUUCCAAUAUAUCAAUCUUUAUGUAUCGACCAUUUCGAGACUCCUCGUCAUGUCUGUGAUCACAAACGGGACUCCAAACAACCUUCGGUACAUCAAAACACAAAAACCCUAAUUACGAUCGUCACCGAACUUUAAGAAUGCGGACCCUACGGGUUUGAGAACUAUGUAGACAUGACCGAGACACGUCUCCGGUCAAUAAUCAAUAGCGGAACCUGGAUGCUCAUAUUGGUUCCUACAUAUUCUAUGAAGAUCUUUACCGGACAAACCGCAUAACAACAUACGUUGUUCCCUUUGUCAUCGGUAUGUUACUUGCCCGAGAUUCGAUCGUCGAUAUUCCAAUACCUAAUUCAAUCUCGUUACCGGCAAGUCUCUUUACUCGUUCCUUAAUACAUCAUCCCGCAACUAACUUAUUAGUUGCAAUGCUUGCAAGGCUUGAGUGAUGUACAUUACCGAGAGGGCCCAGAGAUACCUCUCCGACAAUCGGAGUGAAAAAUCCUAAUCUCGAAAUACGCCAACCCAACAAGUACCUUCGGAGACACCUGUAGAGCACCUUUACAAUCACCCAGUUACAUUGUGACAUUUGGUAGCACACAAAGUGUUCCUCCGGUAAACGGGAGUUGCAUAAUCUCAUAGUCAUAGGAACAUAUAUAAGUUAUGAAGAAAGCAAUAGCAACAAACUAAACGAUCAAGUGCUAUGCUAACGGAAUGGGUCAAGUCAAUCACAUCAUUCCCUAAUAACGUGACCCCGUUAAUCAAAUGACAACUCAUGUCUAUGGCUAGGAAACUUAACCAUCUUUGAUUCAACGAGCUAGUCAAGUAGAGGCAUACUAGUGACAUAUUGUUUGUCUAUGUAUUCACACAUGUAUUAUGUUUCCGGUUAAUACAAUUCUAGCAUGAAUUAUAAACAUUUACCAUGAUAGAAGGAAAUAAAUAAUAACUUUAUUAUUGCCUCUAGGGCAUAUUUCCUUCAGUCUCCCACUUGCACUAGAGUCAAUAAUCUAGUUCACAUCGCCAUGUGAUUUAACAUCAAUAGUUCACAUCACCAUGUGAUUAACACCCAUAGUUCACAUCGUCAUGUGACCAACACCCAAAGGGUUUACUAGAGUCAAUAAUCUAGUUCACAUCGCUAUGUGAUUAAUACCCAAAGAGUACUAAGAUGUGAUCAUGUUUUGCUUGUGAGGGAAGUUUAGCCACAUUCAGAUCCGUAUGUAUUUUGCAAAUUUCUAUGUCAACAAUGCUCUGCAUGGAGCUACUCUAGCUAAUUGCUCUCACUUUCAAUAUGUAUCCAGAUUGAGACUUAGAGUCAUCUGGAUCAGUGUCAAAACUUGCAUCGAUGUAACCCUUUACGACGAACCUUUUGUCACCUCCAUAAUCGAGAAACAUAUCCUUAUUCCACUAAGGAUAAUUUUGACCAAUGUCCAGUGAUCUACUCCUAGAUCACUAUUGUACUCCCUUGCCAAACUCAGGGCAGGGUAUACAAUAGGUCUGGUACACAGCAUGGCAUACUUUAUAGAACCUAUGGCUGAGGCAUAGGGAAUGACUUUCAUUCUCUCUCUAUCUUCUGCCGUGGUCGGGUACUGAGUCUUACUCAACUUCACACCUUGUAACACAGGCAAGAACUCCUUUUUGACUGUUCCAUUUUGAACUACUUCAAAAUCUUGUCAAGGUAUGUAAUCAUUGAAAAACUUAUCAAGCGUCUUGAUCUAUCUCUAUAGAUCUUGAUGCUCAAUAUGUAAGCAGCUUCACCGAGGUCUUUCUUUGAAAAAAAACUCCUUUCAAACAUUCCUUUAUGCUUUGCAGAAUAAUUCUACAUUAUCUUCGAUCAACAAUAUGUCAUACAUAUACUUAUCAGAAAUGAUGUAGUGCUCCCACUCACUUUCUUGUAAAUACAGGCUUCACCGCAAGUCUGUAUAAAACUAUAUGCUUUGAUCAACUUAUCAAAGCGUGUAUUCCAACUCCGAGAUGCUUGCACCAGUCCAUAGAUGGAUCGAUAGAGCUUGCAUAUUUUGUUAGUACCUUUAGGAUUGACAAAACCUUCUGGUUGCAUCAUAUACAACUCUUCUUUAAUAAAUACAUUAAAGAAUGCAGUUUUGUUUAUCUAUUUGCCAGAUUUCAUAAAAUGCGCCAAUUGCUAACAUGAUUUGGACAGACUUAAGCAUAGAUACGAGUGACAAACUCUCAUCGUAGUCAACACCUUGAACUUGUCGAAAACCUUUUUGCGACAAUUCUAGCUUUGUAGAUAGUAACACUACUAUCAGCGUUCGUCUUCCUCUUGAAGAUCCAUUUAAUCUCAAUGGCUCGCCGAUCAUUGGGCAAGUCAAUCAAAGUCCAUACUUUGUUCUCAUACAUGGAUCUCAUCUCAGAUUUCAUGGCCUCAAGCCAUUUCACGGAAUCUGGGCUCAUCAUUGCUUCCUCAUAGUUCGUAGGUUCAUCAUGAUCUAGUAGCAUGACUUCCAGAACAGGAUUACCGUACCACUCUGGUGUGGAUCUCACUCUGGUUUACCUACGAGGUUCGGUAGUAACUUGAGCUGAAAUUACAUGAUCAUCAUCAUUAGCUUCCUCACUAAUUGGUGUAGUAGUCACAGGAACAGAUUUCUGUGAUGAACUACUUUCCAAUAAGGGAGCAGGUACAGUUACCUCAUCAAGUUCUACUUUCCUCCCACUCACUCCUUUCGAGAGAAACUCCUUCUGUAGAAAGGAUCCAUUCUCAGUAAUGAAUAUCUUGCCUUUGGAUAUGUGAUAGAAGGUGUACCCAACAUUUUCUUUUGGGUAUCCUAUGAAGACGCACUUCUCCAAUUUGGGUUUGAGCUUAUCAGGUUGAAAUUUUUUCACAUAAGCAUUGCAACCUCAAACUUUAAGAAACGACAGCUUAGAUUUCUUGCCAAACCAUAGUUCAUACGGUGUUGUCUCAACGGAUUUAGAUGGUGCCCUAUUUAACGUGAAUGUAGCUGUCUCUAAUGCAUAACCUCAAAACUAUAGUGGUUAAUCGGUAAGAAACAUCAUAGAUUGCACUAUAUCCAAUAAUAGUACAGUUAUGACGUUCGGACACACCAUUAUGCUGUGGUGUUCCAGGUGGCAUGAUUUUGUGAAACUAUUCCACAUUGUUUUAAUUGAAGACCAAACUCGUAACUCAAAUAUUUGUCUCUGCGAUCAGAUUGUAGAAACUUUAUUUUCUUGUCACGAUGAUUUUCCGCUUCACUCUGAAGUUUUUAAACUUUUCAAAUGUUUCAGACUUAUGUUUCAUCAAGUAGAUAUACCCAUAUCUGCUCAAAUCAUAUGUGAAGGUCAGAAAAUAACGAUACCCGCCGCAAGCCUCAACAUUCAUCGGACUGCAUACAUCAGUAUGUAUUAUUUCCAAUAAGUCAGAUGCUUGCUCCAUUGUUCCGGAGAACGGAGUCUUAGUCAUCUUGCCCAUGAGGCACGGUUCGCAAGCAUCAACUGAUUCAUAAUCAAGUGAUUCCAAAAGCCCAUCAACAAGGAUUUUCUUCAUGUGCUUUACACCAAUAUGACCUAAAUGGCAGUGCCACAAAUAAGUUGCACUAUCAUUAUUAACUUUGCUUCUUUUGGCUUCAAUAUUAUGAGAAUGUGUAUCACCACAAUCGAGAUCCAACAAACCAUUUUCAUUGGGUGUAUGACCAUAGAAGGUUUUAUUCAUGUAAACAGAACAACAAUUUAUUCUCUUACUUAAAUGAAUAACCGUAUUGCAAUAAACAUGAUCAAAUCAUAUUCAUGCUCAACGCAAACACCAAAUAACACUUAUUUAGGUUCAACACUAAUCCCGAAAGUAUAGGGAGUGUGCGAUGAUGAUCAUAUCAAUCUUGGAACCACUUCCAACACAUAUCGUCACUUCACCCUUAACUAGUCUCUGUUCAUUCCGCAACUCCCGUUUUGAGUUACUACUCUUAGCAACUGAACCAGUAUCAAAUACCGAGGGGUUGCUACGAACGCUACUAAAAUACACAUAAAUAAUCUGUAUAUCAAAUAUACCUUUGUUCACUUUGCCAUCCUUCUUAUCCGCCAAAUACUUGGGGCAGUUCCGCUUCCAGUGACCAGUCCCUUUGCAGUAGAAGCACUUAGUCUCAGGCUUAGGACCAGACUUGGGCUUCUUCACUUGAGCAGCAACUUGCUUGCCGUUCUUCUUGAAGUUCCCUUUCUUUCCCUUUGCCCUUUUCUUGAAACUAGUGGUCUUUGUCAACCAUCAACACUUGAUGCUUUUCUUGAUUUCUUCCUUCGUCGAUUUCAGCAUCACGAAGAGCUUGGGAAUUACUUUUGUCAUCCCUUGCAUAUUAUAGUUCAUCACUAAGUUCUAGCAACUCAGUGAUAGUGACUAGAAAACUUUGUCAAUUACUCUCUUAUCUGGAAGAUUAACUCCCACUUGAUUCAAGCAAUUGUAGUACUCACACAAUCUGAGCACAUGCUCACUGGUUGAGCUAUUCUCCUCCAUCUUGUAGGCAAAGUACUGUCAGAGGUCUCAUACCUCUCGACACAGGCAUGUGUAUGAAAUACCAAUUUCAACUCUUGGAACAUCUUAUAUGCUCAAUGGCGUUCAAGAGUCUUUGAAGCCCCGAUUCUAAGCCGUUAAGCAUGGUGCACUAAACUAUCAAGUAGUCAUCAUAUCAAGCUAGCCAAACGUUCAUAACGUCUGCAUCUGCUCCUGCAAUAGGUCAGUCACCUAGCGGUGCAUCAAGGACAUAAUUCUUCUGUGCAGCAAUGAGGAUAAACCUUAGAUCACGAACCCAGUCCGCAUCAUUGCUACUAUCAUCUUUCAACUUAGUUUUCUCUAGGAACAUAUCUAAAAUAUAGGGAAGCAAUAACGCGAGCUAUUGAUCUACAACAUAGAUAUGCAAAUACUACCAGGACUAAGUUCAUGAUAAAUUUAAGUUCAAUUAAUCAUAUUACUUAAGAACUCCCACUUAGAAAGACAUCCCUCUAAUCUUCUAAGUGAUCACGUGAUCCAAAUCAACUAAACCAUAACCGAUCAUCACGUGAAAUGGAGUAGUUUUCAAUGGUGAACAUCACUAUGUUGAUCAUAUCUACUAUAUGAUUCAUGCUCGACCUUUCAGUCUCAGUGUUCCGAGGCCAUAUCUGCAUAUGCUAGGCUCUUCAAGUUUAACCUGAGUAUUCUGCGUGUGCAAAACUCGCUUCACCCAUUGUAGAUGGACGUAGAGCUUAUCACACCCGAACAUCACGUGGUGUCUAGGCACGACGAACUUUGGCAACGGUGCAUACUGAGGGAGAACACUUUUUAUCUUGAAAUUUAGUGAGAGACCAUCUUAUAAAGCUACCGUCAAUUAAAGCAAGAUAAGAUGCAUAAAAGAUAAACAUCACAUACAAUCAAAAUAUGUGACAUGAUAUGGCCAUCAUCAUCUUGUGCCUUUGAUCUCCAUCUCCAAAACAUCGUCAUGAUUUCCAUCGUCACCGGCAUGACACCAUGAUCUCCAUCAUCUUGAUCUAUAUCAAUGUGUCGUCACAUGGUCGUCUCGCCAACUAUUGCUCUUGCAACUAUUGCUAUCGCAUAGCAAUAAUUGUAAAGCAAUUAUUUGGCGCUUGCAUCUUAUGCAAUAAAGAGACAACCAUAAGGCUUCUACCAGUUGCCGAUAACUUCAAAAAAACAUGAUCAUCUUAUACAACAACUUAUAUCUCAUCACGUCUUGACCAUAUCACAUCACAACAUGCCCUGCAAAAACAAGUUAGACGUUCUCUACUUUGUUGUUGCACGUUUUACGUGGCUGCUACGGGCUGAGCAGGAACCGUUCUUACCUACGCAUCGAAAACCACAAUGAUAGUUUGUCAAGUUGGUGAUGUUUUAACCUUCGCAAGGACCGGGCGUAGCCACACUCGGUUCAACUAAAGUUGGAGAAACUGACACCCGCUAGCCACCUGUGUGCAAAGCACAUCGGUAGAACCAGUCUCGCGUAAGCGUACGCGUAAUGUCGGUCCAGGCCGCUUCAUCCAGCAAUACCGCCGAACCAAAGUAUGACAUGCUGGUAAGCAGUAUGACUUAUAUCGCCCACAACUCACUUGUGUUCUACUCGUGCAUAUAACAUCAACGCAUAAAACCUGGCUCGGAUGCCACUGUUGGGGAACGUAGUAAUUUUAAAAAAAUUCCUACGCACACGCAAGAUCAUGGUGAUGCAUAGCAAUGAGAGGGGACAAUGUUGUCUAUGUACCCUCGUAGACCAGCAAUGGAAGCGUUGACACAACGUAGAGGAAGUAGUCGUACGUCUUCCCGAUCCAACCGAUCCAAGUACCGAACGUACGGCACCUCCGAGUUCUACACAUGUUCAACUCGGUGACGUCCCUUGAGCUCCGAUCCAGCCGAGUGUUGAGGGAGAGUUUCGUCAGCACGACGGCGUGGUGACGGUGAUGAUGUUCUACCGAUGCAGGGCUUCGCCUAAGCACCGCUACGAUAUGACCGAGGUGGAAUAUGGUGGAAGGGGGCACCACACACGGCUAAGGAACGAUCACGAAGAUCAACUUGUGUGUCAUGGGGUGCCCCCUGUUGGGGAUUGUAGCAUAAAUUCAAAAUUUUCCUACGUGUCACCAAGAUCUAUCUAUGGAGUCAUCUAGCAACGAGGGAGGAGUGGAUCUACAUACCCUUGUAGAUCGUGCGCGGAAGCGUUCAAGAGAACGGGGUUGAUGGAGUCGUACUCGUCGUGAUCCAAAUCACCGAUGAUCCUAGCGCCGAAUGGACGGCACCUCCGCGUUCAACACACGUACGGAGCAGCGACGUCUCCUCCUUCUUGAUCCAGCAAGGGGGGAGGAUAGGUUGAUGGAGAUCCAGCAGCACGACGGCGUGGUGGUGGAAGUAGUGGGAUUCCAACAGGGCUUCGCCAAGCGCCGCGGGAGGAGGGAGAUGUGUCAUGGGAGGGAGAGGGAGGCGCCAGGGCUUAGGUAUGGCUGCCCUCCCUUCCCCCCACUAUAUAUAGGGCCAAGGGAGAGGGGGGCGCAGCCUUGGCCCUUCCUCCAAGGAAGGGUGCGGCCAGGGAGGAGUUCAUCCUCCCCAAGGCACCUAGGAGGUGCCUUCCCCCUUUAGGACUCUUCCUUUCCCUUAUCUCUUGGCGCAUGGGCCUCUUGGGGCUGGUGCCCUUGGCCCAUACAGGCCAAGGCGCACCCCCUACAGCCCAUGUGCCCCCCGGGGCAGGUGGCCCCACCCGGUGGACCCCCGGGACCCUUCCGGUGGUCCCGGUACAAUACCGGUGACCCCGAAACUUCUCCCAAUAGCCGAAAUAGCACUUCCUAUAUAUAAUUCUUUACCUCCAGACCAUUCCGGAACUCCUCGUGACGUCCGGGAUCUCAUUCGGGACUCCGAACAACUUUCAGGCUACUGCACACUAAUAUCUCUAUAACCCUAGCGUCACCGAACCUUAAGUGUGUAGACCCUACGGGUUCGGGAGACAUGCAGACAUGACCGAGAUGACUCUCCGGUCAAUAACCAACAGCGGGAUCUGGAUACCCAUGUUGGCUCCCACAUGUUCCACGAUGAUCUCAUCGGAUGAACCACGAUGUCAAGGACUUAAUCAAUCCCGUAUACAAUUCCCUUUGUCUAGCGGUACGAUACUUGCCCGAGAUUCGAUCGUCGGUAUCCCGAUACCUUGUUCAAUCUCGUUACCGGCAAGUCUCUUUUACUCGUUCCGUAACACAUCAUCCCGUGAUCAAGUCCUUGAUCACAUUGUGCACAUUAUGAUGAUGUCCUACCGAGUGGGCCCAGAGAUACCUCUCCGUUUACAUGGAGUGACAAAUCCCAGUCUCGAUUCGUGCCAACCCAACAGACACUUUCGGAGAUACCUGUAGUGUACCUUUAUAGCCACCCAGUUACGUUGUGACGUUUGUCACACCCAAAGUAUUCCUACGGUAUCCGGGAGUUGCACAAUCUCAUGGUCUAAGGAAAUGAUACUUGACAUUAGAAAAGCUUUAGCAUACGAACUACACGAUCUUUGUGCUAGGCUUAGGAUUGGGUCUUGUCCAUCACAUCAUUCUCCCAAUGAUGUGAUCCCGUUAUCAACGACAUCCAAUGUCCAUGGUCAGGAAACCGUAACCAUCUAUUGAUCAACGAGCUAGUCAACUAGAGGCUUACUAGGGACAUGGUGUUGUCUAUGUAUCCACACAUGUAUCUGAGUUUCCUAUCAAUACAAUUCUAGCAUGGAUAAUAAACGAUUAUCAUGAACAAGGAAAUAUAAUAAUAACCAAUUUAUUAUUGCCUCUAGGGCAUAUUUCCAACAGUCUCCCACUUGCACUAGAGUCAAUAAUCCAGUUCACAUCACUAUGUGAUUAACACUCAAGGUCACAUCCCCAUGUGACUAACACCCAAGAGUUUACUAGAGUCAAUAAUCUAGUUCACAUUACCAUGUGAUUAACACUUGAUGAGUUCUGGGUUUGAUCAUGUUAUGCUUGUGAGAGAUGUUAUAGUCAACGGGUAUGAAUCUUUCAGAUCCGUGUGUGCUUUACAAAUCUCUAUGUCAUCUCCCAGAUGCAGCUACCACGUUCUAUUUGGAGCUAUUCCAAAUAACUGUUCUACUAUACGAAUCCAGUUUACUACUCAGAAUAAUCUGGAUUAGUGUCAAAGUUUGCAUCGGUGUAACCCUUUAUGACGAACUCUUUUACCACCUCCAUAAUCGAGAAAAUUCCUUAGUCCACUAGUUACUAAGGAUAACUUUGACCGCUGUCCUGUGAUCCAUUCUUGGAUCACUCUUGUACCCCUUGACUGACUCAUGGCAAGGCACACUUCAGGUGCGGUACACAGCAUAGCAUACUGUAGAGCCUACGUCUAAAGCAUAGGGGACGACCUUCGUCCUUUCUCUCUAUUCUGCCGCGGUCAAGCUUUAAGUCUUAACUUCAUACCUUACAACUCAGGCAAGAACUCCUUCUUUGACUGAUCCAUCUUGAACACCUUCAAGAUCAUGUCAAGGUAUGUGCUCAUUUGAAAGUACCAUUAAGAGUUUUGAUCUUAUCCUUAUAGAUCUUGAUGCUCAAUGUUCAAGUAGCUUAAUCCAGGCUUUCCAUUGAAAAACACUUUCCAAAUAACCCUAUAUGCUUUCCAGAAAUUCUACGUCAUUUCUGAUCAACAAUAUGUCAACAACAUAUAUUCAUCAGAAAUUCUAUAGUGCUCCCACUCACUUCUUUGGAAAUACAAGUUUCUCAUAAACUUUGUAUACACCCAAAAUCUUUGAUCAUCUCAUCAAAGCAUACAUUCCAACUCCGAGAUGCUUACUCCAGUCCUUAGAAGGAUUGCUGGAGCUUUGCAUACUUAUUAGCAUCUUUCAGGAUUGACAAAACCUUCCGGUUGUAUCACAUACAACCUUUCCUCAAGAAAAUCAUCGAGGAAACAAUGUUUUGACAUCCUAUCUGCAAGAUUUCAUAAAUAAUGCAGUAAUCGCUAAUAUAAUUCCAACAGACUCUUAGCAUCGCUACGAGUGAGAAAGUCUCAUCGUAGUCAACUCCUUGAACUUGUCAGAAAACAUCUUAACGACAAGUCGAGCUUUCUUAAUGGUGAUACUUACCAUCAUUGUCCGUCUUCCUUUUAAAAUCCAUAUGUACCUAACAGCCUUACGACCAUCAAGUAGUUCUUCCAAAGUCUACACUUUGUUUUCAUAUAUGGAUCCUCUCUCGGAUUAUAUGGCCUCAAGCCAUUUUGGAAUCUAGGCCCACCCUCGCUUCUCCAUAGCUCGUAGGUUCAUUGUUUUCUAGCAACAUGACUUCCAAGACAGGAUUACGUACCACUCUGAAGUAGUACGCAUCCUUGUCAUCCUACGAGGUUUGGGAGUGACUUGAUCCAAAGUCUCAUGAUCAAUAUCAUAAGCUUCCACUUCAAUUGGUGUAGGUGCCACAGGAACAACUCUUUGUGCCCUUCUAUACACUAGUUGAAGUGACGGUUCAAUAACCUCAUCAAGUCUCCACCAUCCUCCCACUCAAUUCCUUCGAGAGAAACUUUUCCUCGAGAAAGGACCCGAUUCUAGAAACAAUCCCUUAUUGCUUUCGGAUCUGAGACAGGAGGUAUACCCAACUGUUUUGGGUGUCCUAUGAAGAUGCAUUUAUCCGCUUUGGGUUCGAGCUUAUCAGCCUGAAACUUUUUCACAUAAGCGUCGCAGCCCCAAACUUUCAAGAAAUGACAGCUUAGGUUUCUCUAAACCAUAGUUCAUACGGUGUCAUCUCAUCGGAAUUAUGUGGUGCCCCUUUUAAAGUGAAUGUGGUUGUCUCUAAUGCCUAACCCAUAAACUAUCGUGGUAAUUCGAUAAGAGACAUCAUGGUACGCAUCAUAUCCAAUAGGGUGCAGUUAUGAUGUUCGGACACACCAUCACACUAUGGUGUUCCAGGCUGUAUUAGUUAAACAAUUUCCACAAUGUCUUAAUUCUAUGCCAAACUCGUAAUUCAGAUAUUCAUCUCUAUGAUCAUAUCAUAGAUAUUUUAUCCUCUUGUCACGACGAUCUUUCAACUUCACCCUGAAAUUACUUGAACCUUUCAAUAAUUCAGACUCGUGAUUCAUCAAGUAAAUAUACUCAACAUCUACUCAAAUCAUCUAUGAAGUAAGAACAUAACGAUAUCCACUACAUGCCUCAGCACUCAUUGGACUGCACACAUCAAAAUGUAUUACUUCCAACAAGUUGCUUUCUAGUUCCAUUUUACUGAAAACGAGGCUUUCAGUCAUCUUGCCCAUGUGGUAUGAUUUGCAUGUCUCAAGUGAUUCAAAAUCAAGUGAGUCCAAACGGUCCAUUUGCAUGGAGUUUCUUCAUGCAUAUACACCAAUAGACAUGGUUCGCAUGUCUCAAACUUUUCAAAAAUGAGUGAGUCCAAAGAUCCAUCAACAUGGAGCCUCUUCAUGCGUUUUAUACCGAUAUGACUUAAAUGGCAGUGCCACAAGUAGGUGGUACUAUCAUUACUAUCUUAUAUCUUUCGGCAUGAACAUGUGUAUCACUACGAUCGAGAUUCAAUGAACCAUUCAUUUUAGGUGCAAGACCAUUGAAGGUAUUAUUCAAAUAAACAGAGUAACCGUUAUUCUCCUUAAAUGAAUAACCGUAUUGCGAUAGACAUAAUCCAAUCAUGUCUAUGCUCAACGCAAACACCAAUCUCGAUGGUAGAGGGAGCGUGCGAUGCUUGAUCAUAUCAACAUUGGAAACACUUCCAACACAUAUCGUCAGCUCACCUUUAGCUAGUCUCCGUUUAUUCCGUAGCUUUUAUUUCGAGUUACUAACACUUAGCAACCAAACCGGUAUCUAAUACCCUGGUGCUACUAGGAGUACUAGUAAAGUACACAUUAACACAAUGUAUAUCCAAUAUACUUCUAUCGACCUUGCCAGCCUUCUCAUCUACCAAGUAUCUAGGGUAAUUCUGCUCCAGUGGCUGUUCCCCUUAUUACAGAAGCACUUAGUCUCGGGUUUGGGUUCAACCUUGGGUUUCUUCACUAGAGCAGCAGCUGAUUUACCGUUUCAUGAAGUAUCCCUUCUUGCCCUUGCCCUUCUUGAAACUAGUGGUUUCACCAACCAUCAACAAUUGAUGCUCCUUCUUGAUUUCUACUUUUGUGGUGUCAAACAUCGCGAAUAUCUCAAGGAUCAUCAUAUAUGUCCCCGAUACAUUAUAGUUCAUCACGAAGCUCUAGCAGCUUGGUGGAAAUGACUUCGGAGAAACAUCACUAUCUCAUCUGGAAGAUCAACUCCCACUUGAUUCAAAUGAUUGUUGUACUCGGACAAUCUGAGCACAAGUUCAACAAUUGAGCUUUUCUCCCUUAGUUUGUGGGCUAAGAAAAUCGUCGGAGGUCUUAUACCUCUUGACGUGGGCACAAGCCUGAAAUCCCAAUUUCAGCCCUCGAAACAUCUCAUAUGUUUCGUGACGUUUCAAAACGUCUUCGGUGCCUCAACUGUAAGUUGUUUAACUGAACUAUCACGUAGUUAUCAAAAUGUGUAUGUCAGAUGUUCGCAACAUCCAUAGACAAUGUUCGAGGUUCAGCACACUGAGCGGUGCAUUAAGGACAUAAGCCUUCUAUGAAGCAAUGAGGACAAUCCUCAGUUUACGGACCUAGUCCGCAUAAUUGCUACUAUCAACUUUCAACUAAAUUUUCUCUAGGAACAUAUCUAAACAGUAGAACUGAAGCGCGAGCUACGACAUAAUUUGCGAAGACCUUUUGACUAUGUUCAGGAUAAUUAAGUUCAUCUUAUGAACUCCCACUCAGAUAGACAUCCCUCUAGUCAUCUAAGUGAUUACAUGAUCCGAGUCAACUAGGCCGUGUCUGAUCAUCACGUGAGACGGACUAGUCAACAUCGAUGAACAUCUUCAUGUUGAUCGUAUCUUCUAUACGACUCAUGCUCAACCUUUCGGUCUCUUGUGUUCCGAGGCCAUGUCUGUACAUGCUAGGCUCGUCAAGUCAACCUAAGUGUUUCGCGUGUGUAAAUCUGGCUUACACCCGUUGUAUGUGAACGUUAGAAUCUAACACUCGAUCAUCACGUGGUGCUUCGAAACAACGAACUGUCGCAACGGUGCACAGUUAGGGGAAACACUUUCUUGAAAUUAUUAUGAGGGAUCAUCUUAUUUACUACCGUCGUUCUAAGUAAACAAGAUGCAAAAACAUGAUAAACAUCACAUGCAAUCAAAUAAUAGUGACAUGAUAUGGCCAAUAUCAUAUAGCUCCUUUGAUCUCCAUCUUGGGGCUCCAUGAUCAUCUUGUCACCGGCAUGACACCAUGAUCUCCAUCAUCGUGUCUCCAUGAAGUCGCUCGCCAACUAUUACUUCUACUACUAUGGCUACUGAUUAGCAAUAAAGUAAAGUAAUUACAUGGCAUUGUUCAAUGACACGCAGGUCAUACAAUAAAUAAAGACAACUCCUAUGGCUCCUGCCGGUUGUCAUACUCAUCGACAUGCAAGUCGUGAUUCCUAUUACAAGAACAUGAUCAAUCUCAUACAUCACAUAUAUCAUUCAUCACAUCCUUUUGGCCAUGUCACAUCACACGGCACAUGCUGCAAAAACAAGUUAGACGUCCUCUAAUUGUUGUUGCAAGUUUUUACGUGGCUGCUAUAGGUUUCUAGCAAGAACGUUUCUUACCUACGCCAAAACCACAACGUGAUAUGCCAAUUUCUAUUUACCCUUCAUAAGGACCCUUUUCAUCGAAUCCGAUUCGACUAAACUGGGAGAGACAGACACCCGCCAGCCACCUUAUGCAACUAGUGCAUGUCAAUCGGUGGAACCAGUCUCACGUAAGCGUACGUGUAAGGUCGGUCCGGGCCGCUUCAUCCCACGAUGCCACGGGCUGGUUAACAUACUUGGUGGGGAUAAAACAACACGUGUGGCAUUAAAGCUUCCUGAAGAGUUGAAGAAGAAAAAAAUGAAGGCCCUGCGCAUACUCUCAGGGAUUGAAAUCGCUGGGGGCUCUGCGGACUUCCACCAUUUGACUGAGCUGAGGAAGCUUGCCAUCUACAAGCUUAAAGCCACGAAGAAUGAUCCGAGUUUCAAAGAGUUGAGCUCCUCUAUUGAGUACCUUGGUGGCUACUCUCUACAAACCCUCGUAAUUGACGAGGAAUCAUCUGAGUUUAUUAAAUCACUGGAUGAUCUGUCAUCCCCUCCGAAAUUCCUUGUUGCCCUCGAGUUAUCUGGCAAGAUAGUUAAGCUCCCCUGCUGGAUCAAACAACUCAGUUCUCUCAAGAAGUUGACCCUUUCAAUAACAGCUCUCCGGACGGAUAACUUGAAGCAACUUAGCGAUCUGGAGGCGCUGUUUUCUCUCACCUUUUCGUUCUCGUUUAGAGCAGAAAAAUAGGACCCGGAAACACUGACCAUUCUUGCAAAAAACAAGUUGUUGCCCUGCUGCGGAGGGGAGAUCACAGUUCCAGAUGGAGGAUUUAAGAGCCUUAAACUCCUUUGCUUCUCUGCUCCUCUCUUGCCAUCACUGAUCUUCUCAGGACAAGCCAUGCCAGAGCUGGAAAGGCUUGAGCUACGGUUUAACAUACUGGAGGGCCUUUUUGGUGCGGAAAACCUUGAAAAACUCAAAGAGGUGCAUUUGACGUUGGACGACAAGGCUGGGGAAGGAAUAACCACGGAGAUAGUAAGCGAGAUGGAGAGUGCAAUGAAGAGGACUGGUGGCAAGACGCCGCAGAUAAUCCUUCAUCAGUGACUAGUUGAGAUGGAGCCAAACUGUGCUGCUUUAUGAGUCCUUGUAAGUUGAGGAUCAUCAUUUCUCUUUACUUGUUCUCAGUGAUCAUUGCACCUAGUCUGGGUAGGUCAUAUGAGAGUGUCAAAUGGUUCAGUUAUUGUGUUUGUGUUUGAAACAAAUUUAAUCGUCAACAGCAUGCCUCUUAUCUAUUAGCUUCAUGUAUGGCAAUGCCGCGAUGUACAUUUUUAUUGUCUGUAUUCAUCUCUGGACAUCUAUCAGAAUUUGGAGCUAUAUGCGUUCAGCUUUGUGUAGUCAGCUGCUGUAAUUGUUGGCGUUGUAUGGAACAUAGGGGUCUUCAUUGUGCAGCAGUACCCCUAGCCCAUCGUAAGAGUAGCAGAAGACGGCUAUCGUUCUGAACCAAUGGUAUUAUCGAAUCGAAUUCAGACACAUAGUUGUAGAUGAGCCUGGGUUUGAUCUAGAAAUAGCAAGACUUGUGAUUUUGCAUGAGCAUUUUGUGGUGACGAGGGGUUCGCAGUCAAUGUUAAGAUGCUACUGCUUUUGUCCCUGGAUUGCUUGAUUAACAAACAACUGAUGCAUUGGCUCAAGGGUCUCGUCUAUAAAAAGAGGCUAAAGCAGAGCCUGAUGCGCCAUGAGCUAGCUGUUGAUCCAUGCUGUACAUUCUCCCCUGUUUGGGAAGGGGGAGCAGCACCAGCAGCGGCGGCAAUUAGUAUUACUGGAGUGGGCAAGGUUAAAGAGUUGUUUGUGGCAUCUCCAACGAGAACCCUCAAAUUUCACGCAUCCGUUCCAACAAGAACCCUCAAAUUUCACGCAUCCGUUCGGACCGAGCAGUCUGGACCCCACAAGCCAUCCAACUAAGACAAGAGAGACUUUGUGGGAGUCCGGACACCAGCCACGUAGGACUAUGACUAUGACACCAGCCACGUAGGACUAUGACACCUGUGGCCCACCCAAAACUGAGGUGGAGCCCACGCAUUUGGAGCUGGCCGCACUGUUUCCACAGCAAAAUCCUCUUUCUCAUCUCUCUCCUCUACCCUCCUGCCACUCUGCACCCCAAUUCCCAUCCUUUUCCGCCACCACCGUCGCAUGGACCCAUACGAAAAGCUGACGGAGACGGUGGUGGUGGAGGAUCUAGCAAUUGCGGACAUCUGAAAGAUCAACUCGCCGACACGACAAAACCGCCGCCUCAAAGUGAAGGCAAAGGCGACACAACUCAAGAAGCGGAAGGCCGACGGAGGUGGUGGUCGUAGUGGAGGACGCGUCGGCGAUGGGCGUGGUGCACGGCGAGCCUAGGGAUGCGGGCGCCAUCGUCGUCCGUGCAGACGCCGCCCUCGCUGGAGCAAUACAAGGCUCCCUACUUCCCAACAGCUCUGUAGGUAGUCCGCAGCAUCCGCCGCCGGGCGCGUGCAACUGCGUCGUUGUCAACGCAGUGCCACUGCUUUUCUCAGAGUCUGCAUCACCACAGCUUGUCCGUUCGUGGACGCUGGAUGUGGAGCAACUCGGUGCCCGCACGUUGUUCGUCCAUAUGCCUCAAGCGGGCGAGCUGGUGUGCGAUGACGUGGGCAGGAAGAUGUUUGACAUGAUCCAUGACGAAGUCGGAGAUGCAUGCUGCUAGGAGGAUGGGCAGGUGGAGAUGACUUGGAAUCCACACAGCCAGGCACAUACACCCAGCAGGGCAUGUAGGUGGGCACGAAACCAGAUUGGGCAGGAGCAAGAGGAGGCCGACGAUGUUGACCCUGAUCCGGAUGGAAAUUUGUUGUUGGUCCAAGAAAGAGGGUAGGAGAGAAAGCUUCAACAUGAGGGAGGACGAGUUGUUGUGUGAUGCGUGGUUGAUCACUAGCAUCGAUACGAUCCAUGGCACGGAGCAAAAGAGCUCAACAUUUUGGGCCAACAUUCACACUUGGUUCCAUGAGCACGAGCGUUUCGAGCCCUACGCCGACGAACUCAUCCACAACCGUUUGAUGAAGUCUCUCAACCAUCGAUGGAACAUUGUACAAGAACUCGCGUCCAAGUAUUGCGGCCACUUGAAGCAACUCAUCGGAUGGUGGUCAAGUGGUGCCCAAAUCUCCGAGCAAGUAAGUGUGUUGAUCAUUUGAUAGCAUAUGCAAAUUGUUAGCUGGACAUGCUCUCGUGCGUGCAAUUUGUUCUUGAAGUUGGAGAAGAAGAACUUCAUCCUCAUGCAUUGUGGGUUGAAGUUGAAUGGGCAACCCAAGUGGAAUGUAUUCAUUGCCAACUCCGCCAAGACCGUUGGUAUGAGCACCGAGGAAGAAACAGGUGAUCCAAUCGACCAAACAAAAGAGCCGCCCAAGAAAGUUAGAAGAGGGUCCGGAGAAAGAAUUGGGAGGAGGAGAAGGCGAAGCUAGAGAAGGGACGGCCAAGAUAACGAAGAGGUUUGAGAAUAUCUUAGCAAAGGAGGAGGCAUAUGUCAAGCCCUCCAACAACAAGGAGGCAUGUAAUGCCGAGGGGUUAAACAUGUUGAUGGCGGUGUCCAAGAAGAAGACCAUGCUCGAAGAGAAGAAGGCUCAGAUCAUAGCUGCUUAGGAGGAGGUGAAGAUGUUGUCCUUGAAAAUGGAUGAUUUGGAUGACCUUGCAAGGAUGAUCAUGCAAGCUGUUCGCUUUUAGAUGUUGAAGUGGUAGAAGGAUUAGCUGGAGGUGGAGGCGGCAGAGUGAGCCUUGAGGCUCGGAUUGCCGGUCUAGCAAGACAGAAAAUCCAACUUUUUGCACGGACUACCGGAUUAAUAUUCUUCUUUUGUGACCAGGCAUAUAAGAACUAUGCAUACUUGUCUCUUUUGAUAGUGACCGGGUACUAUUUGAUCGGGCACAUUUGAUAUUCAAAUUGACAGAACCUAGGUUGACACUUAAGGCACAACUUUGGAUGGCCGGCUCCCGUGGAUACCGUCUGUCCUGAAACUGUAGCUUGCCAAGACCGAUUCCCCUACUGGAAUCCUGGAUCUUUUCUGGCUCCUGAAAAACCUACGCCUCACGAAGGUGUUCUGUUUGGAGGUUUGUCCAUUCUAACAAACUCAACCGGUUGCUUCGAUACCAUCUGUCUUGUCUCACCUAGCCAAGGAAAACACUAGAGAAAGCGAGCGGCUGCUCCUGAUUAGUGAUUGCACACACGCUGAUAGGACCAUCGAUGAGACCUCCACCCCCCCACCUCGUCGUCUGGCCGAUUGACAUAUAGACAGACGAGUCUUGUUCGUGUGACCUCUUUUUUUAGGUCAGAUUACUAUGCCGUGUGACCACCUUUCAUGGAUAAGAGUAUCUUGCUGCACGUCUAGAGUUUGUGGAUGCGAAAGUCCCGCCUAACUCCAAUGAGCUAGCUUUCGCCAUCAGGGAUAGGCGGGCCAGCCGAAUGCCUAAAUACCAUAAUUACAAGCACAAAUCGCAUCCCCUUCUGGUCAACACAAAUAAAUAAAUAAACCUAUCCUAAAACCCUCACUGAAGCAACUAGUAGUACUCAUGUUGACGCGGCAUGCCUAUCAAGCUCAGAAGGUAGAGUAUCGGCUCAGAAGGUAAAUCAUUUUGGUCAGCCCAAUUAACUCUAUCAAGCUCAGCAAUGACAGAAAAAGUAGGGUUUUAUUCUUCUAUCGCAUGAUUAUUCUCCAUCCAAGUCACUUUCAAGUCAUUCUCAUUUGCUUUCCCUAAAAAAAAAUCAUUCUCGUAUCAUAGACUCGGCAGAUAAGAAACUUUUUAAGGUAAGGACAAGGGAUCUUGAUUCAGAUUUAGUACUAUAUAAAUGCAGCUCCAGGAGUCCAGUAGGACUGCAGUACUUAUCAUGGUUGGGAGAUACUUCUGGUCAGAAACAAAAUGAGCAAAAUAGGAGAGAUAUGAUUUUAUUGACUGGGUGCUGCAACUCUAGUAAUUGUACAUGUUGAUGUUCGGAAUCUUGCCAUUACAGAAAGGAACAUAUAUAUAUAUAUAUAUUUUUAACUGCAGCUAGGUAAUAUAAUCAACGGUUUUGUUUUACUCAAAUGUACCUAUCAUCUCAUUCUCAAACAAUGUCACCAGUAUUCCAACUCCAUUUUCCCUCGUUCUCAGCUGACUUAGACCGCGGAUAAUAGGACAGAAAUAUAAUUAACAGUGAUAUUUACACUUGAGCAAACCAAGAGCCAGAGGUAUAAAUAAAAGAAGUACCAAAGACAAUUAACACUAGAAAAGAAGCAGAGCUAUGGAAAGAAAGCUACCUAAUUCUGGCCACUACAAGAAAAUGAUAGCAUAAACAACCGAUAAAACACACCGUCUAGGCGUCAUAUACAAGAGUGGUUAACCAUUAUCAAUAUAUGACAUUUGCAUGUCAUUUGCAACCAAAGUGGUGCAGGUAGUUGGAACAUCAUCUAGUACUUGUUUAUUCCAAGAGAAGAUUCUUAGGCCUCCUAUUUUUGCAAUGAGAAAAGACAGAAAUUUGAAAGGGAAAAACUGACAAAAAGGGUAAACAUUUCUUCCAUUUUCCUAGGACCCUUCUAUAUCAGGUUACUGCAGCAGUGCCCAGUUGUGUAGAGCACCUGUACAGCGUACCUGUCCAUAUAUGCCUGUCGCUCGUGACCAUGUGAGGAAUGGUCAAUUGUACCCUACAGUGUACUCCAGUCUCUCUGUCACUUGAAGUAUUCAGAUUCCUGAUGUGCCAUGCAGUUCAUGAUCAGAACCAGAAAUUUAAACAAAUAGAGAAAGAAAGGAAUGACAUGAAACCUGCUUGGUGCAUGCUGGAGUUGUGAUAUCAUAGCCAUGUUUGGUUCCAAGCAAGUGGAUGGAGUACUUGUGAAGACUCACAAGCAAAAAUGUGAUUAAGCAGCAGAAGCAAAGUACCAGAAAUAAAGUGGAUUUCGUUGAUUGAUUUGGAGUUACAAACUAAGACACUAUCUACACACACUUGAUCACCAUUUUCUUUUCAACACCUGAAAGACCAGAUAAGCUGUGGAAAGGAACGAAACAAACCAAGGGAAGGAACCUAAUUUGCAUUAUCUAUACUUGCCAUCAGAAGUCAGGGAACGCCACUCUCCUGCCCCUUCUUCGCCGAGAGGCGCUUGAGGAACUCAUACGUGGUGAUCAUGGUGGUGGCAGACAAGGACAUGGACGCCCACCUCGGGCCGAGCCCCCUGUAACACGCGCCCCACCCGCCUUCCUUGAUCAGCUCCCGCACCGUCCGCCCAAUGGUGAUUGGCUCGCCUUGGCCGUCCAUGACCUGCAUCCUCGUCUUGAUGGUGUCCAGCGGCAUGGUCACAAGCGCCGCGGCGCCACCAGCUAUCGCGGCACUCGUUCCCUGCACCACCAUGAGUGUCUUGCAGCUUGGCCGCAAUGAGAUGUCCCCGUCGCCGUCGUCGAUUUCUUGCACACCCACACCGUACUCGCAGAGGUAGCAGCCGAUCCCGCUCCAGAUUAUCUUCUGUGACAGUGAGUAAGUCGCCCACCACACGGCAUUGGAGGGGGCGUAGGUCAGGAUGGACAUGCCGAAGCCGCGGUACAGGCCGCAGAGGCCGUCGGAGGCAACGAUCUUGCGGAAUGCGUCGAGGCCGCCGUGGUAGCGGGAGGCCGGGCACGGGUUGCCCUGCACCAUGAGGCGCUGGCUGAUGACAUCGACGGGCGUCCACACAACCUGCGCGGCAACGGCGGCAGUGAGCCCGGCAGCGGCGGCAGCGGCCGCGGACGCAGCAGGCUCAGGCGCGCCAAGGCCGAGCGCGGCCGGGCCGACGACGGAGCGCGUGGCCUCGAGCGCGCCCAUGUAGAGCGCGCGCGCGGGGACGGUCCCGGCGAGGGAGGUGGCGAAGCCGCGGUAGAAGGCGAGGGGGCCCUCCCGGCGCAGGAUGGUGGUGGCCGCGGCGGCGGCGGAGGGCGGGAGCCCCGGCCGCGCCCCCGUCGCGGCGUGCGCCGGGGGAGGCUCCGGCGCGACCUGCAGGCGCGUCUUGAGGACGACGGCGGGGUAGAGCGCGGCCGAGACGGCGGAGAAGAGCCCCGCGCCGAGGACGAAGAAGCGCGACUUGUCGAGCCGCUCCCAGUCGAUGUCCGCCGGGAGCUGCAGCUCCUGGGAGCCCCCAGCCUGCUCCGCCGCCGCGUCGGGCGGCGGCGGAGGCGCCUGCCGGCGAUCUAUGGCCUCUCCUCCAUGCCGGCACGCCGGGGACAGCGGCGGGCCGCGCUCCCGGGGAUGCUCUCCUGCGCGCGUACCACGCGGGCGACGAGGAAGCGAGCGAGCACCGGAGGAGGAGCAGACUGCGGCGGCUAGGGUUUUGGGCGCGUGGCGGCGGGAGGGGGGAGGAGGGAGCAGAGCGGAGCAGAGCAGGCAGGCGGUGGGGGGAGUGUGUGGAGCGGCGUCGGACGUGGCGCGCCCUGAUUAAGGCCUGGGCUUGGGAUUUUCGGAGGGGAUUCAGAGGAGACUGUUGGCACGGUUGGUUCGUGGCCGGGCGCGAGCGUGACGGGCGGGCCUGACGCAGGGCGCGGCGCGUGGCACCCGG